rnacentral:lncRNA from 1 species
UCAUACAAUAAAAGUAAAUAAGCAUUUCUACUGUUCCAAACACACAAACAACGUCAAAAAAAAUGCAGUCUCUUUAAUUAAUUUAUUGGCAAAUAGCUAGAAAUCUUUCAAAAUGCGGUCCAUUCAUUUUGCAGUUGCGCUUGCGGUUUCUUCGUUUUGUUGAACCUCGCCAGCAUCUCUACAAUGGUGCAAUCCACUUUACAAUGCACUGUGCAGUGCCCAUUGCACUUCCCUUUCCACUGCCCUGGCAUUAUCAGCAGAAUCCGCCUAUGUUUGACAAUACUUUUCCGCGUAGUACGUUGCAAAUGAUAUAAAUUAUUCCAGCGUCACAUCCUUCUUGCCCUUGUUUCUUCUUCUAGCAGCAGCAGUGGCGGGAGUAGCAGCACCACAAUGAUGACAACGCCCAGCCUUCCACCUCACAGCAGCAAACAGAUGCACUCAAUGCAUCUGAGCCAAUGUCACUGACAGAUGCACUCAAUGCAUUAGGUGACAUCGAUUUCAGUACUCAAAAAGAGAAAUAUGUAAUAAGAACCACUUUACUAACCGCCUUAAUCAAGCGUUCAAGAGGCUGCUCGGUAACACUCGACUUGCCAAAAAUAAUUGACAAAGCAUUAACAUGAGUAGCAUCUGGUACACUAAAUUCAGCAAGCAAAGGAGAUGCUGAUAUCCCAGCGGUGCCAAAUGCAAGGGACUGGACUGGUGCUCCCACCCCAGCUACUUGUUGAUGUCCGAUAUUCCCAGCAUUUGGUAGUGAGGAAGGUUUCUCAAAAUCCCCUGCCAUGGGGGAUGGAGCCAUGGGAGUUGAAGGAGAUGGCAUGACAACAGGUGAACUGGCAGUUUGCAAUGGUGUUCCAGCUUUCGGGUGAGUCGGUAGAUUCUGCUGGUCAACUUGGGGAGAAGAAUGUUGCGAAAUUUUAGGAGAUGCAGCCUGAAGGAGUUGGUUUGAUGAUGGAAUAGGAAAUGGAGAUCCUGAUUUCAACUGCUGAUGCGGAUAAGCAUGCUGGCCUGUGGAUAUAUGUUGCUGAAAAACCCCUGGCUUAACACCCAUCCCCUGUCUCAUCUUCAAGUCAUUUUCAUCAUUCAUUUGAUGAAGCUGUGGCAUUUGGUGUUGGUUCGCCUCCAUCUGCGCUGGAAGCUGCUGCUUUGCUUGCUGCAACUGUUGCUGCUGUUGCUGUUGCAGGUAUCUGCUGCUUCUGUAUAAAUUGCUGCUGCAUUUGCUGUUGAUUCUGUUGCUUCAGCUGAUUCUGAAACAUUUGCUGUUCUUGCUGUUUCAAUUGCUGGUGUUGAAGCAUACCAGAAUUUGACUGAAGGGAGUUAAUAAUUUGGCUGAAGCAUACUAACCCCACUCUGCGAUGACAAACCAUUCAUGUUAGCUUGAUGGGAAGCACUGACAGGAGUUUGUUGGAUAGAUCCCACUGGAACUUGCUGCAAAGAGUUCAGUGCAUUUCCCUGUCCUGAAUCCAAAUUUGUACUCAGCUGCAAUGAAUUCAUCAUGUUCUGCUGUGCUGUUGAAACCCCAGAUAUCGAACACAUUGAAUUUUGCUCCAAGCUUGUCAUAUUGUUCUGCUGCAUUGUUGGCACAGAACCUUGUAAAUUCAUUGUUUGCAACUGCGGGUUCAUUUGAUUUUCAUGAGACUGCACUUGACGAAUUUGAGACUGCGGCUGCUGCAUAGAGUGCAUAUGAGGUGGGGGGAGCUGCCCUUGUUGCAGAGGACGACCUUGCUUCCUCAGUCUAUUUGCAUUUCUAAAAUUUACCAUCUGCUUCUCAUAUAAACCCAACUUGUCUUUCAAACCAGGUGAAAUGCUACUCUUGGAAAUCUGUAAGACUGAUAUGAGGCGCUCUAACAUGGAUUUGAACAUUUUUAGCUUCUCAAGCUUCUCUGACUUUGGUUGUUGUGGAAGAGCAUCCGUGCUGGCAAACAGAAAGAACAGACGUCAGUAAGCAAAAGAAUGGCAACAUACGGAGUAACAACUUUGUUGCGAAAUCUUAUUAGCAUUAUUGGUGAGGUAACAAUCCCAUGUAGACGGUCUACAUGGGUACAAUAAUUAAUAGGGAGAUCAAGGUAGAAUCUAUCAAAGAGCAGCACCACAAUAACCUUGCAGGGAAAGCCCUGCUUAUUGCUAAAAGUUCAAGCAACAAAUUAUGAGAGAAGAAAAAAUUGAAUUGAUUACAUACCUUCUGAACUUUAGUAGCAAUUACCUGAUACAUUUCACUUAGUUCGGGUAAGUACCCUUCCUUCAUGACUUUGAUCUGCAAAUGAAAGUUAUAAAUACAAAGAAGAUUAGAAAGAACUUUGCUGCAGCUACAUGAUUGCCGACACCAUCAUAACAUCAAUGCCAAUGGAAAAGAGCCCGUGCAUGCAACCAUGAAUUCAGACAACAUGAAUUUCAUGUAUGCUUGUAUCUAAUGAAGCAAGUUUUAAUUAACUCCCAACCGAUGGUAGCUUAACAAAGCUGCCCCACAAGGAAUCUUAACUAGCAUGUAAUUCUUCAAAAUCCCCAUUCAAGGCAAUUUUGGCAUUAGUAUAAUUAUUUUCCAGUAAUAUGCAUUUUUAUAUUUAGAUGUUGUAUGUGAAAGCCAUCAAAUGGACAAGAAGUCAGGACAUCUUACUUUUUGAUAGACCUCCUCUUGCCAAUCACCCCCACUUGCAUAUCCAGUCUGAGCUGAGGAAUCUAGAGAAGCUACAAAAUAUAGAGAGAUAUAUAUGUCAAUGUUUGCACAUAAAAUGAAAUUUGAACGCGAGGGUUAAAAAUGAGAAAGAAAAAAAAAAAGCAUUGCAUGCAGAACAUUGAUCAGGGGGCCCGUUGCUCUUACCAGCAGAGUUAGAUUGUAAAGGAUUGCCCAUUGAAUUCUGAGACUUGGUCUCCAUUGUGAGCAUCUUCAGAGAAAUUUCCCGUAGAUAAUCCGACUACAAAAACAAAAAAAAUCCAUGGUAAACUUAGAAUACAGUUCUAUCCAAAACAUGAAGAAAGUUCAAACAUAGACAACAUUUUUUAAAAGUCAUAUAUGAAAUAGAUAGGUAAGUAUUAAGUACGCAAACAUUUCAUGCACCAUAUGAAAUAAGAACUCCGGAAUUAUGGAAGAACCUGGCUUGUGGCUGCAGUAUAAAUCUCUUCCUCUAAACCUUACAGCAAUUUCACUGAGUUCCUGUAAUCCAUCUUGUCCGGAGAAGGGAAGAUGCCUCUUCAACGUAUCCAUUCUAUACAUGCAAUAAAAUCAACAUCAGUUACUGACUACCAAUAUGUUUUAAGUUUGAAGUCCUCUCGCCAUAGUUUAGAUUAGAUUACGCUAGAUUAGACUACCGCUUGAAACAAAAAUAAAAAAUCGACAAAGAAAAACACUUGCAUCUUGUUGACAAUUCUUUGCCUUGAAUCAGCCUGCAGCCGACUCCUCCAAUCGCCGGCAUCCAUGGCGGCCUCUCCAACUUGAGAAGGCCUCCACAGCGGCUGCUGCUGCUGUUGGGGUAAAAUUGGCUGUUGUGCCAUUGGUGUUUGUUGUUGAUGAACAGCUACCUGUUGAGGCUGCUGUUGCUGCCGGAGAACUGGCUGUGAAUGCUGCUGAAGCAUGGGUUGUGAUGACUGUUGCAUAGCAGAUUGUUGAUUCUGCUGAAGACUCAAGAGAAAUGAUUGCACCGAAAGCUGCAUAAAGGAUGAUGUUGGCAUAACAGAUUGCUGGGAAGACUGCAACUGAGUCGGUUGUAAAAGGUUCUGCUGCUGUUGCUGUUGCACAAGUUGUGGCAUAUUUCCCUGCUGAUAUUUUGGCUUCAAAAGCGAAUGUUGCAUCUGUUGAUGGUACAUAUACUGCUGGGAAUUCUGGGAAUUCUGGGAUUGCUGCGGCUGCUGCUGUUGGGGAGCUACCUGUUGCCUUCCUGGCAUUUGCCUUUGAGAAUUAGCAAAGACAUUGGAGGGUACCCCCUGGCCCAUGGAAUUCCCUAAUGAAUUCUGUGAACUUCCGGACAUAUUUUGCAUGUUUGGGUUUUGUCCAACAAUACUUGGGAUAGGAGUCUGGGUUAAACCGGAAGAAGGAGGUAGUGCAGAUGAUAAGUCAGACGAACUUUGAACUCCAGCAGGUGGAAUGUUAUUCUGAAUGCUCUGUGAUAAAAGUGGUUGGCGUCCUUGAGAUUGAUUAGCUGGUAACGGCAUAGAGAGUGAUUGCCCAUGAUUGGGGACUUGGGGUUGCAUACCAAAAGACCCUAUUCAAGUAAAAUAGCAAGAAUAAAUACCACAUAAGCAAGCAUCAAAACAAGAAUACAAUAAAUGUCAUUUGUACUCAUCAUUUGACCCAUUAAAUACAAGUGAAUAAAGAUAUCAAGUACGAAUCAUCUCAGUUAAGAAAUGCAGGAAUAAUUAAGAAAAAGAAAGAACGUUUCAAUAGUUGUUUUUACCUGGAUCAGGGGGCCUGUUGCUCUUACCAGCAGAGUUAGAUUGUAAAGGAUUGCCCAUUGAAUUCUGAUACUUGGUCUCCAUUGUGAGCAUCCUCAGAGAAAUUUUCCGUAGAUAAUCCGACUACAAAAACAAAAAAAAUCCAUGCUAAACUUAGAUUACAGUUCUAUCCAAAAUAUGAAGAAAGUUCAAACAUAGACAACAUUAUUUUAAGAAAUCAUAUAUGUAGUAGAUAGGUAAGAACUCUGGUAUUAUGGAAGCACCUGGCUUGUGGCUGCAGUAUAAAUCUUUUCCUCAAACCUUACAACAAUUUUACUGAGUUCCCGCAAUCCAUCUUGUCCGAAGAAGGGAAGAUGCCUCUUCAAUGUAUCCAUUCUAUACAUGCAAUAAAACCAACAUCAGUUACUCAAAACGGGGGUGGCAUUCAUAAUAGCAAAACUGGAUUCGUAUACAAUCCACUAAAAUAUGUUUUAAGUUUGAAUCCCUCUCACCAUAGUUUAGAUUAGAUUACGCUAAAUUAGACUACCGCUUGAAACAAAAAAAAAUCGAAAAAGUAAAACACUUACAUCUUGUUGACAAUUCUUUGCCUCGAAUCAGCCUGCAGCUGACUCCUCCAAUCGCCGGCAUCCAUGGCGGCCUCUCCAACUUGAGAAGGCCUCCACUUAUUGGUAUCCAUCAAAUCCAAUCAAACCAACAAAACUGCCAAAAACAAAAGCACAGGACUGAGCAACUUCAACGAAAACCUACGAAAACGGCACAAAAAAUUCGUACAAGAGCUAUUCGGACGACGAUACAGUUUAUAAUUACGCAGGCAAUUUUUUUCAUCAGAAAUUGCAUUCAUUCAAGCUGAUUCUAAACACGAUUUAGGCGCCAUGAAAAAUCAAAACUUGCAAUUCACAUACAACCGAAAACCCGAUACGAUUUACACAAUCAGAUCACAAAAACACCAACAAUAACGAAUUUCCCACAAAACCCACGAUCGUUCAACAUCUAAAACAAAAAAACCAAAAAAAAUGUCCAAAAAGUUACCUCUUUUCUUUCAGAACAGGAGAGUUGAAGAUUGAAAGGUUCAGGCAGCCUGGAGUGAAACAAUGGAGAAAUUGCAGAACUGGGAAAUCGGGGGAUUGGGAAAGGAAGGAGGGUUCUUGCUCAAAAGCUUCAAACUUUGAGAAGAUUGAAUGGAUUGACGCGUCCGGACGGGAUAUUUGGAAAAAUAUAAAAUUAUGAUCAUCCUUUUAAAUUUAUGCACAGUACUCCUUAGUAUAACCGUCGAAUAGUAUCAAUUGGACCUUAGAAAGAAUCCCUUUGAUGCUACGAAGAUCUUCUAAAAUCUUCUGCCACUGUAGUGGCUUAAGUCGGAGUACAACAUCGAAUAACCGUGUCAUGAUACAACGAUUACUUUGCAGAGUUUUGUAGACAUGCAAGAAUGAAAACCUCGUUCUUUUUGCUUUACGAAGUUCCCACUGUAAGAAGAGUUACCAAACUCAUCUCGUGUUACAUGUCGCGGGGUUUGCUCCACGCCCCACGUUGUUGUAGAUAACAAACGUGUUAUCCGAUGGACGCUACAGACUCAUCCACAGGGUACUUCAUCAUGCAAGAUCCUAGAAUGGCACUUAGUUGGUUACUAAGGCGUCGUCCUGGUGAGUCUACCAAACCCACAAUUUGAUAUAAAAGUAAUAAAAUACCCUUAAUGACUAAAAACUUGUUCAUUAGCUUAACUGAGAAAUUUGGAAAAGCGACCAUAUUUUAGAUCCCAUAUAGAAUUAUAGCCAUUAUUUUAGUUUUACGAUAAUUUUAACCAAAACUUGAUAUAAAAGUACUAAUAUACCAUUAAUGACAAAAAAAUUCCCCAUUUCUCUUAACCAUGAAAAAAUAACAAUUAAUUGAGAUCUUGAAGCAUAAAAGAGGUAGCCUCUUGAAUACUACCCAGUACCCUUACUCUCGAACCCCUCCAUUUCCUACACACUUUUUUAAUCAAUAUAUAUAUGUAUGUAUGUAUAUAGAUAUAGAGUAGAUAUUGAUAUUCAAACGUAAUCAAAGAGCAUAAAAAAUGAAGAUAACCUAGUAAACUAAACAUAAAACCAUGAGAAAUCAGCAAAGGGUGCUCUUUGGUUUAAGGUGAGAGACUAGAUGGUUGAGAGAGAGUUUAAAGGAAGUUUUGUUUUUGUUGUGAGAAACCCCUAAUGCGGAUUAAUCAAGCAGGGUCAAGAUAAUCAGGUAGGUAGUGACCCCCAAUGCGGAUUAACCAAGCAGAGUCACACCUGUAGAACUGUUAGGCAAUGAUCACCCAACGCGAAUUAACCAAACAUGAUCACUCCUAAGUAUAAAUGGCCAUAAGGAUCGCCCAACGCGGAUUAACCAAGCGCAAUCCGUAUAUAGUAUGGUUCCCCAACGCGGAUUAACCAAGCAGAGCCACUAAUGACCCCCUAUCGCGAAUUAACCAAGCAGGGUCAUGGUCUCCUAUUAGCCCUCAAUUUAACAACCAUUCCAAUAUGCUAUUCAAUUCACUUUUUCAAAAAUAUUAUCAAUCCAAUUUACUUCACUUCAUGAUGAUUCACAACAUAAAUAUACUUCUCACAUAACUUUCUCAUUACUCAAAGAACUUAAGGAAUAAUGCAAUACCAAUGCAAAUCAUAAUUCUCAUUAAUGAGAUUUUUCAUAAUCAUCAUGGAAUUUUCACCACAACACAAUGCAAUUCAUAUAUGUAACUCAAAUGUAUAUGUGUCCAUAUAUCACAUGAAUGCAUCUUUACGCCCAAAAAAAUUAUGAAAUCAUGCAACCACAAUGCAUAUCGUAAUUCACGCAAACAAGACUCGAGAAGGUUGCAUAUCAUAGAGUAGGAUCAUUUGCUCUGAUACCAUUAAAGUUGUCACGCCCCGAUUCCAACAUACGUCCAAGAUCGAUACGUGACGUCCCUAAAUGCCCGUAACUCAACAUACCCCGCCUUUUGGAUAUGUACAAAAUAUAAUUCAACAUCCAGAUGCAUAAUAAUUUUGAGUAUACUUUAUGGCUGCAUCUAACCUCUUCGUUAAACUACCUACGUACCCUCAAUAGGGAUCAAGUCAUUCGUAGUUCCACAAUCGUCAACUCUAAUCUUUCCGUAAAAUACUUCUAACAGAAAAUCAUAAGGCACCAUAUUACACAUCAACCUUAUGUCAACAACAAUUAUCAUCUUUCAUACACGCAUGUAACCCAUUCUCACACAGAUACUUUCCAAUUCAUCCAUCAUAUAAAUCACUGUGUUUCACAUAAUACCGCAAAUCAUAGUAUGUAACAUAUCAAAUAACCAACGCAAUGUUAUUCUCAAGUCACAUUAAUCAAUUACUCUAAUCAUAAUAAUCUCAAUCAUACCCAACUUCAUUCCACAAUCACAUCAAUUAAUUAAUCAUGAAUCAAAGAUACAUGAUCUUAGCAUUUAAUUGUUUAAUCAAUGAAUGCAGUAACAUAUCAUUUCACAAAUUCUAAGGAACUCUAACAACUUCGAAGGAGUCACCCAGACAUCCAACGGUUCAUCUGGAACAAAUCACAACAGCUCAUAAUCAUAAUCUCAUACAACACCAUGAAAAGUGGGGCUAGAGCGACACAGUUCGGCCGAAGCCUACAUCUCUGAAGCUAUCUUGAUCCAAACUCAAUAAAACCCAAGGUGAACAUGAUCCCGGACCAUCUCUCAAUGGAAUCACGAAGUAGGAGGGAUUCCGAACCAACUCUUAAUGAAAUCCAAGUGGAUAUGAUUCCGGACCAUCACUUAACGGAAUCGCGGAGCACAAUGCAUAACCACCACUAAAUGAAACCCAAGUUAGAUAUGAUUCCGGAACAUCACUCAACGGAAUCGUAGAGUAGAAAGGAUUCCGGACCAUCACUCAACGAAAUCGCGAAGUAAAAGGGAUUCCGGACCAUCACGCAACAGAAUCCAAACCAGAAUAUGAUUCCGGAUCAUCACUCAACGGAAUCGCAGAGUAGAAUGUGUAACACCAAUCAAUAAAACAAGACAUGGAUCGAGUUACUCAAGGUACAAAGACUCAACGAAACGAGGAUGAAUAAUGACACGAGGGUUGAAACAUGUUUCGAAGGCAACAAACCCCAUAACAAUGGUUAAUGGUCCACUACUAGCCCUCGUAUUUCAUCACAUCAAUCCAAUCAUACAAUACAAACCAUAUUUCCAAUGCACAAGUCAAAUCAUACUUAAUGAAAAUAGAUCAAUGACCAAAAAUAAAAUAACACUUCAAUAGAAUUCACAUUUAAUUAACAUGGGUCUAUGGCAUAUAUAUAUAUAUAUAUAUAUAUAUAUAUAUAUAUAUAUAUAUAUAUAUAAUUCACAUUUCAAUAUGCAAUUCGAAUCAAUCUUCCACAAAUAAUACCCAUCCAUGAAUCAAAUCACAUUUAAUAAAAAUAGAUCGAUGGCCAAUUAUAAAAGAAUCACAUUUUAAUAGAAAACACAUUUAUAAAACCAUGUCAUAUCCACAAAUGAUAUUAAUACCACCACUCAAUUAGUAGUAAAGAAGAUUAGAAAGGAAUCUGGAAAGAAACUAGGUGUGGCAAAAACAGUACUCUGCUUCUCCACAAAAUUUGCAGAAAACAGCACCAUUGGACCAAGUUUAGGCUCCUUUUGGAACAUUCAAAACUAAACCAAAUCAUGUAAUAUUAUAUGGGUUUUGAAGCUUGUGUUCUGUACCUUAAAAGCAUACAAAGUUUGUAGAAAACGGAGCUCUAGAUUGGAAGUUAUGCCAAAAGAAAAACGGAGUCUUGAAACUGGACACCCAAUUUUCUGCUGCUGUUUGGCAGCUCGCGACCUAAGUUUAAAUAAGGUUUUGAUCAACCAAAACUCAACGGAUCUGAGUGAAAACAAUUGGGUUACGACCAUGAACAUAUGUACUUUCAACACACUAAAAAUUUUCUCCAAAGGAGUACAUAAAGGCCUAAAAAUUAAGAGCCAAAGAAGGCUACUCGAAACUUGAGUUUUCUUUGCAAAGAAAUCAAUUUUCUGCAGCUUACGUAACAGCCCACUUCCAAUUCAUAUAACAAAUCCCAAAAUACUUCCAGGUAGUCCAGAAGUCAUGUAUACAACAUCCAAAACUAACAUGACUCAAAAUUAACAAGAAAUUGACCUUUUGAACCAAACCCUUGAUCAAGAAAUUUGAUCUACACACCCAAUCCAAAAUACCCAACUCUAAUUCAUGUUUAGACUAGUUCAUUGAAUGAUAGAAACCCUAAAUAGAAUUAAGAACUCCAAUAUAUCAUGGCAAUUUCAAUUCAACUUAAGAAAGUUAAAUUUGAAAAUCAAGAUAAUGAAGUAACAAGGAAUUUACCCUUUAAAUCUCUGAAUCCUUCCUUCACAAUCACGUUCUCUAACUCCUUUCUCUCCAAUUUUUGCCUGAAGAAAGAAGGAUUUUCUUCCAACAGCUAUGGAAGAGCCACCUCCUCCCUGUUUCUUUUUCUUUCCUCGCAAAGCCAGGAAGAACGUGGAAGAACGUUCUUUUCCCCCUUCUCUUUUGCAACUCCCUUUUUUCCUUCUCUUUUUUUUUUUCCUUCUUCCCCCCGUUGGUCCCUCCUUUUCCUCCUCUGUUUCUUUUUUUAUUUUUUUUCUUUUCUUUUCCCUCUUUUUCUCGCCACUCUCAUGGCUUUCCUUUUCUUUUUUUCCUUCAGCCACUCCCUUGGCUUUUUCUUCUCUUUUCAAUUUUUUUUUUUGCAACAACUUCAAACGUCUGUAACUAUACCGUUAUAAUCCGAACUCGCAAACGGCUUUUGCCUAUGUGUUCGUGAUCUCGAUAUCUAUUCAACAAUAUAAAUUGUGACUUUGAAUGGUCUAAGGAUUUUAAAUAAUUAAUUUCCUGAAAAAUAAUAUAAAAUCUCUAUAAUACCAAUACGUGGAUUAUAAUAAUGAAAUCCAAGAACGAGAUUUCACACUUCCACAAAUGGGCAGGAAUGAUGACCGAGGAUCGUAUAUUAACACCCCCAAGGGACUGAUUCUGACCAACCGCCCAUUUAUAUCCGGAUUUAACUGAAUAAAUCCCCUUUUUAUCUAGGGGCCAAACCAAAUGAUCUCGCAACAAAGGGUCUCCAAUAUGCGUCCCAAGGAUAGCCUCGAACUCGGACCUCUCCAAGAAAGGUUUCAAAAAAUCAAUGUCCCACAUCCCAUUCUCUGGGCAAAUCAGCGAAUUUACCAACAAAUGAUUAGAAACCUGAACCGUACCAAAGGGAGAAGGUAUUCUCAAUGGAAUAGACGAGAUCCAUCUAUCAACCCACACCCUAACCUCAUUUCCACUCAUAAUCUGCCAAUGAGCUCCAUUGUAUAAUAUAUCCCUUCCAGUGAUGAGGCUAGACCGGGCCCAAGAGGCUCUCCCGCCCUUUUUAGCAUCCAUGAAAGAAUAAUUAGGGAAGUAUCCGGCCUUUAACACCAACGCCCACAAAGAAUUUAGCCCCUCAAUUAAUCUCCAACACUGCUUAGCCAACAGGGCAUCGUUGAACAUCUCAAAACUCCUUAGACCUAACCCACCCAUAUCCUUAGCCCACCCCAACUUCUCUCUAGACACUCAAUGAAUACGUUGCUCACCAUCUUUUUGCCUCCACCAGAACUUUGAUAUCAUGGCAUCCAACUCAUUGCAUAGGGAAGUAGGAAACUUGAAUAAGUUCAUAGGAUAUGCAGGGAUGGCUUGCACCACCGCCUUUAUGAGGACCUCCCGCCCCGCUUGAGAGAGAGCGGCUUUCUUCCAUCCCCAAAGUUUGCCCAAUAAUCUUUCUUUAACGUAUGAUAGCCCACUUUUUUUCAAACGACCCCAAAUAGCAGGAACCCCCAGGUAUAAACCUGGAUCUCCAACCCUCUCCAUACCCAGAAUGUUCGCCAAAUGAUGGGAUAAAGACUCAGGCACAUUGUUUCCAAAGAAAACGCUUGACUUAGACUUAUUAACUUUCUGACCCAACGCCAAGCAAUAAUCAUCAAUCAUUUUGGAUAAUUGCCGACAGUUCUCCUCCUCAGCUCUCAGGAAAAUCAGAGUAUCAUCAGCGAAGAAUAUAUGGGAUAUUGUCGGGCCAGGCUUGUUCAUUUGGACUCAUCUGAUCCAACCUCGAUCACUAGACUAUUGGAUACAAAGUGAUAACACUUCACUAACCAGUAAGAAGAGGUAAGGGGAAAACGGAUCUCCCUGCCUUAGCCCCUUUAAAGGCGCAAACUUGGGUCCGGGUUAACCAUUCAGAAUGAUUGCAAAAUUCACAGAAGAAAUUCAUCCAAGGAUCAAGCUUCUCCAUCUACUGUCAAACCCCAAUUUCUCCAUCACCGCCAUUAAAAAAUCUCAUUCCACCCGAUCAUAAGCCUUGUGCAUAUCCAAUUAAUGCCCAAUUCAAAUUUGCAUUUCAUUUUCCUCGUUUUAAGAAAAUGGAAUAAUUCAUGUGCAAUUCCAAAAUUGUCUUAGAUUUGCCUUCCUGCCACAAAGGCAUUUUGGGUAGGGGAAAUCAACUUCGGAAGAAUCAGUUUAAGGCGAUUUGCCAAAACCUUCGAGAGUACCUUAUAAGAGUAGUUGCAUAAACUAAUGGGCCGAAAUUGAGAAACGGCUUCCGGGUUUUGAACUUUCGGUAUCAGAACCAAAUGAGUAGCAUUGAUCCUCAUGGGAUUUUCCAAACCAUGCAUCAAAUCUCCAAUAAUUUCAUUCACAUCAGCAACAAGUAUGUCCCAAUGAGCCUGAUAGAAAAUCCCCGGGAAGCCAUCAGGGCCAGAAGCCUUCAACCCACCCAUCUGCAUAGCGGCAUCCUUCACUUCGUCAACCGAGACCGUACCCGAAAGGGUUGCAUUCAUAUCAUUGGUAACCUUUGGGGUCACACAAUCGAGGAUUUCUCCCCACUCCCGUUGCUUCGAUGACUUGAAUAACUCCGUAAAAUGCUCAUCCAUCAAACUCCUAAUUUGACUUGGGCUUUCAAUCCACUCUCCAUUGCUAUUUUUUAAAGUCACCACCUUGUUUCUUCGUCUUCUUUGAAGGGUAGACUGAUGAAAGAAUUUCGUGUUGGCAUCUCAUUCGUUUAGCCAAUGCACCUGGGACCUUUGUUGCCAGUAACACUCUUCCUGCCUCCAUAAUUGAUCAACAUUCUUGGAAAGAGACACAAUUUCCACCGCAUUCUCCCUCCAAUUCUAUUGGAGCCGACCCAAAUUAUCCAACAUCUCUUUAAUUUGCCUCCCACAAUUUCUGAAUUUUCCCAUGCUCUAGUUAAUUAAUUUGGCACGACAAUUAUUUAUCUUGUAAUUCCAUCUCUCUAUAGGGCUCCCCUCCCUGGAAUGAUUCCAUGCAUCUCUCACAAUAUCACUGCACUCCCCAUCCUUAGCCUAAAAGGCCUCAAAGCGAAACAUCUUUUUCGUUUUGUUAAUCUGAAGCUCACAUAUUACCACCACAAGACUAUGGUCAGAACCCAGAGUCGUUCCAAUUUUAACCGACGUAUUUGGCCAAAUAAAUUGCCAACAAGCAUUCACCAGCCCCUAUCUAGCCGAGCCUCCACCAACUGCCCAUUUCGAGUCCCAUUCCAAGUAAAUUUAGGGCCAUUAAACCCCAAAUCCAUAACCUCUACCUUGCACAUAAACUCUUCUAGGUAUCUAGGUCGGUUGUAUCUCACUUCCGCUCCCCCAGAUUUUUCAUGGUCCCAUAAGACUUCGUUAAAAUCCCCUCCACAAAUCCAGGAGGUAUUAUCCGGGCUGAAUUUCUGAAUCAUACCCUUCCAAAACUCCUCUUUCUCCGUCCUAUACGAUGUCGCGCAAACUUCGGUAAACCAAAAUCUAGCAUGUGAGUCAACCAACACACAUUUAGCAUCAAUGAAAUGCUUUGAAAAUUCCAUCACCUCCACUUGGACCGAGUCCUCCCACUAGAGGCUAAGGCUUCCAGCUCUCCCAAUUGGUGCUACAUCAAAACCAUUCGAGUACCUCAUACGUCUUCUUACUCAUAUUAUUCUAUGGUCUUUCAUUUUAGUUUCCGAAGGAAAAAUCAUAGAGGGUCUAUGUUCCCUUAUUUGCCCAUGUAAGUCACGAACCACCGUGUCCGACCCUAGACCACGACAGUUCCAAAAAGGUGUAUCAUGGCGAUCUUACGGGUGUAGAAGGUCAGCCGCCACCACAUCGGGAUGAAGAACCCGCUUUCUUUGACCUCAACGCCUCCUUCUCACCUUCAGGGAUCAUCUUCAUAUAAUCCCCUAUUUCCUGUUGUUCAAUCGGGACAUCCUGCAAGUUCUCCUCCAUAUGGACCGCCCUUUCCAUCAACAAGCAUCUGUCUCUGAUAAACAUCUUACCCAAUCUUUCAGCCGCUCUCUCUUCUCUUCCUCUUACUCUGCUUCUUUCUUCGCCAGUUUUCGUUUUCUUCUGAGAUAAUAAACCCUCAUUUGUACUUACCCUUUCCAAAUCCCUCUUACUCUUACUUCUUCCCCCUUCGUAUCAUGAGCCGAGUCACUUGCUAUUACUACUCUUUUCAUACUUGGAUCUCUUCUUUGAAAUUCCAUUGAGCAUUGACCUUGUUUAUGCAGCACCAUUAUUCCAUUCCCACUUGGUGAAGGGUUAGGUUCCACUAUUUCCUCUAUCACGACAGAUGGUAUUCUUCCAUAAUCAUUUGAAUCCACCCCCGGUUGAAAACCCACUACAAAGCGGUUCUGCCCCAUCAGCCUACAACCAUCCAUGAUCCAUUGGGCCGGGUUAGGAUACGGUUUCUCUCUUAUUCUAUGCACCAUGUGCCAUUUUUUCGAACUGUUUCCUAAUCCUUGCUGAGGUGUAGGUUGAUUGGGAGCCCCCCCACCAGAUGCACUUGAUUCAUUAUGAUCCCCAUUACCACCCUCACUUCGAUGCAUAUUCGUCACCCUUGGUCCCCCCUUUCUUGCUCUCGUACUUCUUUGCUCCCUCAUAUUGAUGACCACAUGUCUUGGCCUUUCAAUGAAAGCUCGCACUGGUGCCGCUUUUGUCCAUUCCUCAUACCCUGCCAUACCUCCCCUUACAGUUUCGAAAGUGCAUUCGUUGUUGGCAUGCCUGAUUCUCCCACAUCGAUAACAAAAAUCUUGAAGUCUUUCAUAUCUAACUUCAAUCCAAGUCUCACCUUUGUUUUCCCUCGGGAGCCAUCAACAUGUAAUAAGGGGCUUCGUAGUAUCUACAGCAACUUUGACUCUCAAAAAACCUCUAGCCUUUGUUGGAUCUUCAACUUCCUCCACUUGCCCAAUCUUAGACGCAAGGCACCUCACAUUUUCUUCUGAACUCAGAUUAAGCGGGAUACCCUUGAUUUGUAUCCAGAACGUGACUACAUCCACAUUGACUUCCUCCAAGGCUAAUUCCGGUGGCCAUUUUUUAACUGAAAAGUUCUGCUUCAUUACCCCCCAGGGAACCUGGUCAAUGAUCUUUGUGGCUGUGCUCUCAUCUAGAACAAUGAUGAUGAAAGUAUUGUCCUUAACCUACUUAAUUUCUAUCUCCCCCAUCUCUUUCCAUAAGGAUCUAAGAAUAGUUCGAACUCCCCAUUUGUUAAGGGUUUUCUUUACCAAAGUUGUACCCACCAGCUUUACACUUUCUUCCAUAGUAGAAAGCUCCAAUUUUUUCUCCAAGUGCACCACAAGUUCCUCCACUUCAGCCCCAACCAUCUGACUACUAAUUCGACAGGAAUCAUAGACAAAUUUGGACACAAUAUACAAUAGAUAGACAAUAGGGAUUAUACUCCAAAUCUUACUUUCUUUUUUCUUGGCUCUCUUGUUGACCUCCCAACCCUUUGACACCAAUUAAAAAUACCACAAACCAUACACAAAUUAACCAGUGUUUGUUUCCACCCAAAUGAACUUACCUCUUCAUUACUGUCCGGAUUUAAUGUUGCUGGGUAGUUGGCCAGGGCUCUAAAUGCAGGAUAAAACUGAGGAAGAUUUAGUUUUACUUUCUCGCCUGAUCUUGAUUGUCUGUAUUUAUGAUUAGGACCACCUUCAUGAAUGAUAGGACUCGAGUUCUGCUUCCUCAUUGGUUUCUACCCAGUAACUUCCUAUGAGUUAAAAUUUGAAAACGCAGGAAACCCACAUACCAGUUCGUCUACAGAGGUAUUUCAAUGGACGCUGCAGGACUCGUUGAAGUUUCUGAAGCUAUUUUGACACCAUUAGAAAAAGUUGUAAUCUAAGUUUUGCUUGGUUCAACAUAAUCAGGUACUGGAGGAGGGAGGUUAACACCUGGAAGCUGGGUUUCCAACGGAGGAAGAGCACUUGAGCUCUCCCCGGUCAGCCAGCUAAAGAGACCGCCUUAUCGGCAUUAGCCAUUAGAACUUCAUAGUGAUGCCCGAAAGCGAGUCUGAGCGGUCUGCCGCCCGUGUUGACCCAAUUCUCCACCGCAAACUCGGGAUUCUUCGACUUGUUCCUCUUGAUUCGCUUCAUCUACCCGUCUGCACAGCCAGUGUAAAUAAUCCCCGAUCUCUUAUCAUAAGCCACGUCCUCCGGCCCCGGCAGGACUCCAUACCCCACACGCUUAGCUCCUCGAAACAUGCAAGAGUUUUAAGCUGGGGCCUUCUUGAUUAAGUGCCGAGUCAACUCGCUAAACGGCACGGAGGCCGGGUCGAACGAGUCAAGUUGGUAGAUUAGGGUUGCAGCAAAAAUGGGGAUGAUCAAGAUUUGAAAUAGAGAAGUUGGAGCUGAGAGCCAUGAUGAUUUGGAGCUGGGUUUGGGUACAGAAACUGAGUCUGCUGAGUUCAUUGACUCGGGUAUGACGUUGAAUUGAAUUUGUGGUUUGGUUAUAAAUACUGAACAAACUGAUCAUCUGAGGCCUUGUUUUGGUGUUUCUGCAGAUUCACGGCGGAGGUGAAAAAUUGAGAGAGAACCGACAUAGCUUUUCGUGUCGAUUACCACAGACGGCGCCAAAUGUUGAUGCACAAAACCGAAGGUCUUGGAACAACGUAAAUCCGACCGUGAAUAUGCAAGAAAGUAAAUAACACAAGAUGUAUCGUGGUUCACCCCAAUUUUUGGGCUACGUCCACACUGAUAUUGUAUUUCUCCGUAAGAGCUUGAUUGUGAGGAUGAGAGCAUGAGAGAGCUUAGAGCUUAGGGGAUGUAAGGAGGCUUCAUGGCCUAAGAAUUGGCCUAAGAAUUGGUCUCUCUUAAUGAGGAGAGUGAAGAGUCAUUUUAUAGAAUAAGGGCUCCUCACUUAUUACAUAUUUGCCAUUUCCUUUAUUACAUAAUUACAUUUGAGUCCCCCGAGUAUUUAUACGAGAUCUAAAUACGGAGGCCCUAAGUAUGAUACAAACAGUAGUCCCCCAAGUCUUCAGUCAAGAGAGUAUUUUGGCUAGAGACUUGAAACUCAGUCCAUGUGUGGGCCGAAGUAACUAGAUGUUUUCUUGAACUGAUGCUCGAUAUGAGGCGAUGCUCAAUCUGAAAUGAUGCUCAACUAGAAGUAGCACAUGUUGCGAGGCUGCUCGGCUUGUGGCUUAUGUUGCCUUGGUUGGCUCAGCUUGUGGCGUCGAAAGUGUGGGAGUCCCUUUUAUAGAAUAAGGGAUCGCUCCGCAAUACAUAAGUGAUGGGUUAGGAGUGGUGCUUGCGGCGAAGAGGUUGCUCAGUAGGCGGCGAUGCUCUCUAAUGAAGAGGAAGAAGUCCCUUUUAUAAGGUAAGGGCUCGCUCCUCAGUACAUGAAUAAUGGGUGCUCUCUAAUGAAAGUGAGGGAGUCCCUUUUAUAAAAUAAGGGAUCGCUCCUCAAUACAUAAGUGAUGGGCUAGAGUCCCCCAAGUAUUUUUUAUGAGGCCCAAUAUAUGGUACAUAAUGUAAAUGUUGAUGCACAAAACCGGAGGUCUUGGAACAACGUAAAUCUGACCGUGAAUCUGCAAGAAAUUAAAUAACACAAGAUGUAUCGUGGUUCACCCCAAUGUUUGGGCUACGUCCACACUUAUAUUGUAUUUCUCUGUAAGAGCUUGAUUGUGAGGAUGAGAGCAUGAGAGAGCUUAGAGCUUAGGGAAUGUGAGGAGGCUUCAUGGCCUAGGAAUUGGCCUAAGAAUUGGCCUAAGAAUUGGCCUCCCUUAAUGAGGAGAGUGAGAAGUCCUUUUAUAGAAUAAGGGCUCCUCACUUAUUACAUAUUUGCCCAUUCCUUUAUUACAUAGUUACAUUUGAGUCCCCCGAGUAUUUAUACGAGAUCUAAAUACGGAGACCCUAAGUACGGUACAAACAUAUAAGUAUGAUAUCAAUGUACGCUAACAUUAAGUCAAGAAGUAUACCACAACACAGUAGCUCAACAGCAAUAUAAAUAAUCGUGUGCUUAAUAAUCCAUACUAGUACGCAAAUCGGAGUCACCUAUGGUGACCUGUACGACUGCACCCAUAUCUCAUCAAUCAAUGCUAGCACAUAAGUCGGAGUCACCUAUAGUGACCUGUACGACUCAUCCAUAUCUCAUCAAUCAAUGCUAGCUCAUAAGUCAGAGUCACCUAUAUUGACAUGUACGACUUAUCCAUAUCUCAUCAAUCAAUGCUAGCUCAUAAGUCGGAGUCACCUAUAGUGACUUGUACGACUUAUCCAUAUCUCAUCAGUCAAUGCUAGCUUAUAAGUUGGAGUCACCUAUAAUGACAUGUACGACUUAUCCAUAUCUCAUCAGUCAAUGUUAGCUCAUAAGUCGGAGUCACCUAUAGUGACAUGUACGACUUAUCUAUAUCUCAUCACAUAUCCUUGUAAUAUGUCGGCCGGAUCCACCUCUAGUGGCAUGUAUGGCUGAACCCAUAGCUCAUCACAUAUCCUUGUAAUAUGUCAGCCGGAUCCACCUCCAGUAGCCUGUACGGCUGAACCCAUAGCUCAUCACAUAUCCCUGCACACAAGUCGGAACCACCUACAGUGGUCUGUACAACAGGACUGGGUAUAAUUAAGUACGUUCAAGUACUACGAUCACGUGAAUACUGUGCGAAUAAUCGCGAGUCACCUACGAGUCGGAACCACCUAUAGUGGUUUGUACGACAGGACUGUGCACCUACCUUGGAUCCAAGGUGAACGUAAGGUGCGGGGGGGGUGAACAUCACGUGAAGGACUGUGCCCUGGCCACGGGCGGGAGCACUAACACCGGGAUGCAGGUUUAUGAGCUCUAACUGCAUCUAUUGUAACAUAUACGACUCAUAGGCAACCUGUACGACAGUGUCGGAGUUGCCUAUUAUAUACAUGUAGUCAUGCCAUAACUCCAUCAUUUCAACUAAUACUCUAAACUCACAUGAACUUACCUGGGUGUCCUGCGUUCAACUUUGCACUUCAAAGCGUUGACAACAAUUAUGUGCAAGUAAUAUACAUAUGGAUAUACCAUGAUGCAAUCUAAUACUCAACCAUGUCAUAGCAUUUUAUAUAUAAUAUGACAUAAAAUGCAUAAGUUAUAACGCCCUACUCCCGAACUAUUUAUUUUCGGGGAUAAUUAUCGGUGAUAAGCCCAAUUAGACACUAGUUUAAUUAACUAUCAUUACUUACGUUUCCUUACUUCAAUUUCUUGAUUCUUCACACAUUGAUUUAUGACCAACAUUUAACCACCAAUUCAUAAGGUUAAAUCUCACAUCUUCCACCAAUGUCUCUCACAUUAUUCAAUUCCUUAAACAAGGCUAGUCUCAAAGGUUUAGUCUCAUUUGUUGUAUGGCUGCAUCUAACGUCUCGUUAGACUGCCUACGUACCCUAAACAAGGAUCAAGUCAUUCGUAGUUCACAAUAAUUACCUCAAAGCAUUCACAGUAAUCGUAAGCAAUAAUCAAUUUAUAAAUGUUGGUGGAAUUAUCAAUCAUAUAAUAUAUAUACACACACACACACGAUAUAAAGGAAAAGACCCACUCACCUGAGGUCCGCGCUACGACUCCCUAGCACGCAUAUCGAGACAUCAUGAACCAUAGUUGCCUAUGACCAAUUAUCAAAUCACAUCUCAGAGUUCAUACCGAUAAAAUACACAAUUUACAUAAAACAUAUCCCUACGUAAUUCAAAUUGGAAGAUCUGCAACACAGAUUUCCGAUCUGUUACUUCCAAAGAUCCACAUUACACUUCUAGAACAACAUCUUAAAGUCUCAUUACGAUCCAACGGUCGGAUCUCCGCCAAUUGUCAAAACCAAGUGACGGUUAACCUUUUAUUUUAUGAACUUACAAAUCCAAUUCAGGAAUAUUCGUAUAUCGGAUUCCCGACCUGUAAGUUCCUAUGGUCCUCAAAUAUUACGUAUUAUAACGUAUUAAAGUUUGGUGAUGAUCCGACGGUCGGAUCGUCGAUUCAUACAAUGACCUAUUAACGUAACGUAGAGAAUUUAGAUUCCAACAAUCAACCUACGUCAUACAACUACCAAAAAUGAACUCAAGGCAUCUAAUUAGCCUAAUAAUAACAUCGGCGGCCCCCUGGCCACGCGCCGCUGUGGGUGGUGGUCGGCGCCCCGACUCGUCGAAAAAUCCAACUAUUUCAAAAAAUUACCAAAAUUGUAGGUCUCAAUGAGUGGAGCAACUUUAAUACCUGUGACCAAGGCCAAUUAGGCCGGGAACCUCAAUUUUACAUAAAUCCGUUGGAAACCCUAAAGAGGGUGUGCUUCGAUUCGACCUCCAUGCUCACUCCGACGCCUCCACAAGUGUUUGGGCUUUGUUCCUAAGGUUGAGGGGAGUCUAUUUGUGGUGGUAAUUGGAGGAGGUAGCUUCAAAUCAUGGCGGAAUAGAACCCAACCCGUGCGCCAUUUCUUGUACGGUUUUACCCAAAAUUCACCAAUUUCCACCCAAUUUUCACAUGAAAAUGGAAGAGGGAUCGGUUUGCCUUGUGGUAAGGGUCAUUUUGACACUAACCUUGUCGUCCAAGGUGGCCGGAGAUGGGAGAAUCCACCGGGUCGGGUCACGGGUUGAGGGAAACCCGGUUUCCCCUUUUUCUUUCUCCCUCCUUUCCCCUCCUUUCCUUCCUCUGGUUGGUCACCUUCACUCUCUCUCUUCAUUCCCUUAGCCGAAGCUCUCUCUCCCUUCCUCUCUGAUUGGGCAGCCAAUCCCCUUCUUCUUUUUCCCCUUCUCCCCCUGUUUCUUCUUCUCCUUCCCUCUAUUUUUACCAAAGUUAAUCUUAAAAUAAUGUAAUGGUACUUAAGAAAAUAUAUAAAAUAAUAAAUGGUAAUAUCAAUACCCCAAUCCGCUUCUGUUUACGCCUAUGCGGCCGUAUUGUCAAGUACUACAAAAAUACACUAAAGGAAUAUUUCAUACGUCUCACUAUACGUUGGUCAACGAAAGUCAAUACCCUCGCCUCUUAGGGCAUUUUCGUAAAUUCACACUUUUAAAAUUUAUAAAAUCAUAGAACUAGGGACGGGUUGUCACAUAUUUUCUUAUAUUUUUUUUAAUUUUAAAUUUAUUAAUUAUAUAACUUUACACUUUAUAUCUUUUCAAAGAAGGCAGAACAAGGAGGAGAUCAAUUAUUCCUCAAUUAAUCUACUUCAUUAUUCCUCAAUUAAUCUACUUCUUAACUUUUUUGAUAUUAAAUUUCAUUUUCAUGUGUUAAUAAAUGUAAGAAUCUAAAUGAUUUCGCAUGUGAUUGGCAUGAAAUCCAAAUGUCUCUUUAGUUCAAUAUAACAACCUCUUGUCCCACGAGAUUUUGAAACCACUACCUCCUCCGACGAAAUGGAGAUCAAAAAACCAUUAGUACAAAGGUAGAAUACAACCAAACUCUAGGUAUAGCAAUUUUUGUUCUGUCUAACAAAAGCCAAUACAUGCAGAUGACGCUUUACCAUAGUGACAAAAAACAAUUAUGUCUACACACCCCAACCAACCUCCUCACCCCUAACAAAAGCCACUACAUUGAUAUCCUCUACCCUUCUAAAGUCAUCACAUUCUUAUUCAGAGAAUGGAGGAGAGAAGCUGAAGUAGCAUAUGAGGCCAUGAGAACAUGGAAAUUCAGACCAAAGAAGCAUAAAAACCAUAUGGAAAAGAUGAUGAUGCAUGUGGAACAAUUGACAAACUUGAUAGAAAAGAUGUGAUGCGCAAACACGACGCCUUUUCAGGUUGGAGGGGGCCUUUGUGGUCUGAGCGAGAGAGAGAGAGAGAGAGAGAGAGAGAGAGCUCCUCUAAUUCAAUCAUAUAAAAGUAAAACUGAUGAUAAAUCAUUCCAAACACACAAAUAACGUUAUAAAAAUGCAGUCUCUUUAAUUAAUUAUUGACAAAUAGCUUGAAAUCUUUCAAAAUGCGGUCCAUUCAUUUUGCGGUUGCGGUUGCGAUUUCUUCGUUUUGUUGAAGCUCGCCAGCCUCUCAACAACGGUGCAAUCCACUUUACAUAUGAGGAGGUGGGGGGAGCUGCCCUUGUUGCAGAGGAGGACCUUGCUUCCUCGGUCUAUUUGUAUUAAUAAAUUUACUAUCUGCUUCUCAAAUAAACCCAACUUGUCUUUCAAACCAGGUGAAAUGUUACUCUUGGAAACCUGUAAGAUUGAUAUGAGGCGCUCUAACAUGGUUCUGAACAUUUUUAGCUUCUCAAGCUGCUCUGACUUUGGUUGUUGUGGAAGAGAAUCGUGCUGGCAAACAGAAAGACCAGACAUCAGUAAGCAAAAGAAUGGCAAUAUAAGGAGUAACAACUUUGUUGCGAAAUCUUAUUAGCAUUAUUGGUGAGGUAACAAUCCCAAGUAGACAGUCUACAUGGGUACAAUAAUUAAAAGGGAGAUCAAGGUAGAAUCUAUCAAAGAGCAGCACCACAAUAACCUAGCAGGGAAAGCCCUGCUAAUUGCUAAAAGUUCAAGCAACAAAUUAUGAGAGAAGAAAAAAUUGAAAUGAUUACAUACCUGCUGAAGUUUAGUAGCAAUUUUCUGAUACAUUUCACUUAGUUCGGGUAAGUAAUUUUCCUUCAUGACUUUGAUCUGCAAAUGAAAGUUAUAAAUACAAUGAUGAUUAGAAAAAACUUUGCUGCAGCUACAUGCUUGCCGAUACUCAUGAAUUCAGACAGCAUGAAUUCAUGUAUGCUUGUAUCUAAUGAAGCAAGUUUUAAUGAACUCCCAACCGAUGGUAGCUUAACAAAGCUGCCCCACAAGGAAUCUUAACUAGCAUGUAAUUCUUCAAAAUCCCCAUUCAAGGCAAUUUUGGCAUUAGUAUAAUUAUUUUCCAGUAGCUCUAUUCCCACCCCCAUGCCAAAUAAUUUGUAUUUUUAUCUUUAGAUGUUGUAUGUAAAAGCCAUCAAAUGGACAAGAAGUCAGGACAUCUUACUUUUUGAUAGACCUCCUCUUGCCAAUCACCCCCAUUUGCAUAUCCAGUCUGAGCUGAGGAAUCUAGAGAAGCUACAAAAUAUAGAGAGAUAUAUAUGUCAAUGUUUGCACAUAAAAUGAAAUUUGAACACGAGGGUUAAAAAUGAGAAAGAAAAAAAAUAAGCAUUGCAUGCAAAACAUUGAUAUGGAAAAUUAUCCUUCCCAAACAGUUGAGGUGCAAUUUUGCUCCUACUUUCUGCUUAUGACGGUAAUUACUUUUUAUGGGAAGACUUCAGGUGCAAUUUUGCCCUUGAUUGGGGACUUGGGGUUGCAUACCUUGAUUGGGGACCUGGGGUUGCAUACCGAAAGACCCUACUCAAGUAAAUAGCAAGAAUAAACACCAUAUAAACAAGCGUCAAAACAAGAAAACAAUAAAUGUCAUUUGUACUCAUCAUUUGAUCCAUUAAAUACGAGCGAAUAAAGAUAUCAAGAAAGAAUCAUCUCAGUUAAGAAAUGCGGGAGUAAUUAAGAAAAAGAACGAACGUUUCUCGCAAUAGAUCAACCAUCAAGAAGAAAGCUAGGCGGGAGAGAAAAGGGCAGUUUUCAAUAGUUGUUUUUACUGUUACCAGCAGAGUUAGAUUGUAAAGGAUUGCCCAUUGAAUUCUGAGACUUGGUCUCCAUUGUGAGCAUCUUCAGAGAAAUUUUCCGUAGAUAAUCCGACUACAAAAAUAAAAAAAUCCAUGCUAAAUUUAGAAUACAGUUCUAUCCAAAAUAUGAAGAAAGUUCAAACAUAUACAACAUAUUUUUAAGAAGUCAUAUAUGUAAUAGAUAGGUAAGUAUUUAAGUACGCAAACAUUUCAUGCACCAUAAGAAAUAAGAACUCUGGUAUUAUGGAAGCACCUGGCUUGUGGCUGCAGUAUAAAUCUUUUCCUCAAACCUUACAGCAAUUUUACUGAGUUCCUGUAAUCCAUCUUGUCCGGAGAAGGGAAAAUGCCUCUUCAACGUAUCCAUUCUAUAAAAAAGGUCGUAUCCAUUCUAUACAUGCAAUAAAAUCAACAUCAGUUACUGACUACCAAUAUGUUUUAAGUUUGAAGUCCUCUCGCCAUAGUUUAGAUUAGAUUACGCUAAAUUAGACUACCGCUUGAAACAAAAAAAGAAUCGACAAAGAAAAACACUUGCAGAUUGUUGACAAUUCUUUGCCUUGAAUCAGCCUGCAGCUGACUCCUCCAAUCGCCGGCAUCCAUGGCCGCCUCUCCAACUUGAGAAGGCCUCCACUUACUGGUAUCCAUCAAAUCCAAUCAACCCAACAAAACUGCCAAAAACAAAAGCACAGGACUGAGCAACUUCAACGAAAACCUACGAAAAGGGCACAAAAAUUCGUACAAGAGCUAGCUAUUCGAACGACCAUACCGUUUAUAAUUACGCAGGCAGUUUUUUUGCUUCAGAAAUUGCAUUCAUUCAAGCUGAUUCUAAACACGGUUUAGGCGCCAUGAAAAAUCAAAACUUGCAAUUCACAUACAAUCGAAAACCAGAUACGAUUUACACAAUCAGAUCAAAAAAUAAAAUAAAAAUAACGAAUUUCCCACAAAAACCCACGAUCGAUCAACAUCUAAAACAAAAAACCCAACAAAAUUUGACCAAAAAGUUACCUCUUUUGUUUCAGAACAGGAGAGUUGAAGAUUGAAAGGUUCAGGUUGCCUGGAGUGAAACAAUGGAGAAAUUGCAGAACUGGGAAAUCGGGGGAUUGGGACAGGAAGGAGGGUUCUUGCUCAAAAGCUUCAAACUUUGACAAGAUUGAAUGGAUUGAUGCGUCCGAUGUGGUCUUUUUAGUUUGAAGUAGGAAGGGAGAGACAACAAAUAUCCUAUUUUAACCAAUGUCUGAUUUUUUAGGUUUUUUUUUUUUUUUUAUAGAAAAACUGAUGAAAAGAUGUUUUAGUUUUAAUAAAAAAAUUAUGUUAUAAGUUUUGUUUAAUGAUUAGUAUAAGACUUAUAUUAAAGUAGUCAAACUAAAAAUGGCAUAACUAUAAUAACUUAUUAUUUGUCGAUUUUACCUUUAACUUUUUUAGGUUAACUUCCAGAUUUUCGUCGUUAAUGAAGUUCAUCGUUGUUUUGCAGACCUUCUUCUUUUUUUUUGAAACAAAAUUAUAGAUCCUCAUGCAAGUUAAUUUAUAUUUUGUAUUAUUUUGUUGAAACGUGAUCGUUGUUAUUAUUCAUAAAGUAUUCGAAAUACUGUUUUUCAAUUUUUCUUCGUUAGUGGAGUUCAUCCUUUGUUUUUCCAGAAAACAAAUUUAAGAUCUGCAUGUUAUUCAAUAAUAACGAUGGGUCACUGUUUCUGGAUUGUAAAAAUAAACUGUUUCUAGAUUUUAAGCAACACUGUUUCUGGAAUCCAAGUCACUGUUUCUGAAUCUAAAUGAAAUAGACACAUUGUUUCUUAAAUGUAAGCUAGAAAAGAAAUAGUGAAAUUCAUUGUAUUUGGAUUCAAAGAAAAAUAAGCAUCUUGUUUCUUAAAUAUAAUCAACUGAUGCAUGAAAAAAAAAGAAACAAUCAAAGGUUAAAACAUAGACUGUUUCUGGAAUUUAAGGCACUGUUUUUAGAAUUUAAGUCACUGUUUCUGGAUUUUGGUUCUUUUAUUUCCAGAUAGAGUGUUUGUUUGUGCACAGAAAAAACAAAAACUGUAUUUGAUUUUUUUUUUCCAGAAAUAGUGUUAUGUUAUGGGUUCUCCAGAAACAGUUUUAUGUUUUGGUUUUUUUUUUCUAUUUACAGACGCUUGACAUGUACGUACAUCACCGGGACCGUAGGUCCUUAUUGGAUCUGAUUGGAAUAAAAUACUAACACUAUAAAUUGUUUGUGGUGCAGAUAAGACGAUGAGGAUGAGGAUGAGGACGAUGACGAGGAUGAGGAGGAUAAGGGCACGAAAAAGGUAGACAAAAGUUUUGGAUGAUUUUUUAUUAAACUUUGAACCCUUUUGGUUAAAUUGUUUGUGUCUCUAACAUUACUGAUGUAAAUAGACUGAUUUUCAUAUAUAUUUUUUUUUAAUUUAUUAAUUAUAUAACUUUACACUUUAUUACUAUUCAAAGAAGACAGAACAAGGAGGAGAUCAAUUAUUCCUCAAUUAAUCUACUUCUUGACCUUUUCGGUAUUAAAUUGCAUAUAGUGAGCAUCACGUAACUUUUAUUUUCAUGUGUUAAUAAAUGUAAGAAUCCAAAUGAUUUCGCAUGUGAGUAAAUACAUGUGGUUGGCAUGAAAUCUUCAAUAUAACCUCUUGUCCCAUGAGCUUUUGAAACCAUUACCUCAUCCGACGAAAUGGAGAUCAAAAAACCAUUAGUACAAAGGUAGAAUACAACCAAACUCUAGGUAUAGCAAUAUUUUUUUCUCUCUAACAAAAGCCAAUACAUGCAGAUGACGCUUUAUCACAGUGACGAAAAACAAUUAUAUCCAUGCACCCAAACCAACCUCCUCACCCCUAACAAAGCCAAUACAUUGAUAUCCUCUACCCUUAUAAAGUCAUCACAUUUUUAUUCAGAGAAUGGAGGAGAGAAGCUGAAGUAGCAUAUGAGGCCAUGAGAACAUGGAAAUUCAGACCAACGAAGCAUAAAAACCAUAUGGCAAAGAUGAUGAUGCAUCUGGAACAAUUGACAAACUCGAUAGAAAAGAUGUGAUGUGCAAACACGACGCCCUUUCAGGUUGGAGGGGGCCUUUGUGGUCUGAGACUUGGUCUCCAUUGUGAAGUCACGGCCCAGGAUCAUGGAAGUACCUGGACUGUGGCUGCAGUAUACUAAUAAGAGGGAGGGAGGGAGAGAGACAGACAGAGAGAGAGAGAGCUCCUCUAAUUCAACCAUAUAAAAGUAAAACUGAUGAUAAAUCAUUCCCAUAGUCAUACAAUAAAAGUAAAUAACAUUUCUACUGUUCCAAACACACAUAAAACGUCAAAAAAAUGCAGUCUCUUUAAUUAAUUAUUGGCAAAUAGCUAGAAAUCUUUCAAAAUGCGGUCCAUUCAUUUCGCGGUUGCGGUUGCGGUCUCUUCGUUUUGUUGAAGCUCGCCAGCAUCUCUACAAUGGUGCAAUCCACUUUACAAUGCACUGUGCAGUGCCCAUUGCACUUUCUUUUCCACUGCCCUGGCAUUAUCAGCAGAAUCCGCAUAUGUUUGACAAUAUUUUUCCGCGUAUGUUGCAAAUGAUAUAAAUUCUUCAAGCGUCACAUCCUUCUUGCCCUUGUUUCUUCUUCUGGCAGCAGCAGUGGCGGGAGUAGCAGCACCACACCGAUGACAACGCCCAGCCUUCCACCUCACAGCAGCAAACAGAUGCACUCAAUGCAUCUGAGCCAAUGUCACUGACAGAUGCACUCAAUGCAUUAGGUGACAUCGAUUUCACCUGCAAGUUCAAAAUACAGAAAUUUAAUUUAAGCACAAGUGAGGGAAGGAAAAGACCAAUUUAGAUGGUAAGUACUGAAACAUCAAUACAGCACUCAAAAAGAGAAAUAUGUAAUAAGAACCACUUUACUAACCGCCUUAAUCAAGCGUUCAAGAGGCUGCUCGGUAACACUCGAUUUGCCAGAAAUAGUUGACAAAGCAUUAACAUGACUAGCAUCUGGUACAAUAAAUUCAGCAAGCAAAGGAGAUGCCAACAUCCCACUAGUGCCAAUUGCAAGGGACUGGACUGGUGCUCCCACCCCAGCUGCUUGUUGAUGUCCGAUAUUCCCAGCAUUUGGUAGUGAGGAAGGUUUCUCAGAAUCCCCUGGCAUGGGGGAUGGAACCAUGGGAGUUGAAGGAGAUGGGAUGACAACAGGUGAACCGGCAGUUUGCAAUGGUGUUCCAGCUUUCAGGUGAGUCAGUAGAUUCUUGUGGUCAACUUGGGGAGAAGAAUGUUGCGAAAUUUGACGAGAUGCAGCCUGAAUGAGUUGGUUUGAUGAUGGAAUAGGAAAUGGAGAUCCUAAUUUCAACUGCUGAUGUGGAUAAGCACGCUGGCCUGCGGAUAUAUGUUGCUGAAAAACCCCUGGCUUAACACCCAUCCCCUGUCUCAUCUUCAAGUCAUUUGCAUCAUUCAUUUGAUGAAGCAGUGGCAUUUGGUGUUGGUUCGCCUCCAUCUGCGCCGGAAGCUGCUGCUUUGCUUGCUGCAACUGUUGCUGCUGCUGUUGCUGUUGCAGUAUCUGCUGCUUCUGUAUCAAUUGCUGCUGCAUUCGCUGUUGAUACUGUUGCUUCAGUUGAUUCUGAAACAUUUGCUGUUCCUGCUGUUUUAAUUGCUGGUGUUGAAGCAUACCAGAAUUUGACUGAAGGGAGAUAAUAUUUGGCUGAAGCAUACUAACCCCACUCUGCGAUGACAGACCAUUCAUGUUAGCUUGCUGGGGAGCACUGACAGGAGUUUGUUGGAUAGAUCCCACCGGAACUUGCUGCAAAGAGUUCGGUGCAUUUCCCUGUCCUGAAUCCAAAUUUGUACUUGGCUGCAAUGAAUUCAUCAUGUUGCUGUGCUGUUGAAACCCCAGAAAUCGAAGACAUUGAAUUUUGCUCCGAGCUUGUCAUAUAGUUCUGCUGCAUUGUUGGCACAGAACCUUGUAAAUUCAUUGUUUGCAACUGCGGGUUCAUUUGAUUUUCAUGAGACUGCACUUGACGAAUUUGAGACUGCGGCUGCUGCAUGGAGUGCAUAUGAGGUGGGGGGAACUGCCCUUGUUGCAGAGGAUCUUGCUUCCGUGGUCUAUUUGUAUUAAUAAAAUUUACUAUCUGCUUCUCAUAUAAACCCAAAUUAUCUUUCAAACCAGGUGAAACAUUACUCUUGGAAAUCUGUAAGACUGAUAUGAGGCGCUCUAACAUGGUUUUGAACAUUUUUAGCUUCUCAAGCUGCUCUGACUUUGGUUGUUGUGGAAGAGAAUCGUGCUGGCAAACAGAAAGAACAGACGUCAGUAAGCAAAAGAAUGGCAAUAUAAGGAGUAACAACUUUGUUGCGAAAUCUUAUUAGCAUUAUUGGUGAGGUAACAAUCCCAUGUAGACGGUCUACAUGGGUACAAUAAUUAAAAGGGAGAUCAAGGUAGAAUCUAUCAAAGAGUAGCACCACAAUAACCUAGCAGGGAAAGCCCCGCUUAUUGCUAAAAGUUCAAGCAACAAAUUAUGAGAGAAGAAAAAAUUGAAUUGAUUACAUACCUGCUGAAGUUUAGUAGCAAUUUUCUGAUACAUUUCACUUAGUUCGGGUAAGUACCUUUCCUUCAUGACUUUGAUCUGCAAAUGAAAGUUACAAUACAAAGAUGAUUAGAAAGAACUUUGCUGCAGCUACAUGCUUGCCGACACCAUCAUAACAUCAAUGCCAAUGGAAAAGAGCCCGUGCAUGCAACCAUGAAUUCAUGUAUGCUUGUAUCUAAUGAAGCAAGUUUUAAUUAACUCCCAACCGAUGGUAGCUUAACAAAGCUGUCCCACAGGGAAUCUUAACUAGCAUGUAAUUCUUCAAAAUCCCCAUUCAAGGCAAUUUUGGCAUUAGUAUAAUUCUUUUCCAGUAGCUCUAUUCCCACCCCCAAGCCAAAUAAUUUGUAUUUUUAUAUUUAGAUGUUGUAUGUGAAAGCCAUCAAAUGGACAAGAAGGCAGGACAUCUUACUUUUUGAUAGACCUCCUCUUGCCAAUCACCCCCAUUUGCAUGUCCAGCCUGAGCUGAGGAAUCCAGAGAAGCUGCAAAAUAUAGAGAGAUAUAUGUCAAUGUUUGCACAUAAAAUGAAAUUUGAACACGAGGGUUUAAAAUGAGAAAGAAAAAAAAAAAAAAAAGCAUUGCAAGCAGAACAUUACAACAACAACAACAACAAAGCCUUUUCCCACUAAGUGGGGUCGGCUAUAUGAAUCCUAGAACGGCAUUGCGCGCGGUUUUGUGUCAUAUCCUCCGUUAGAUCCAAGUACUCUAAGUCUUUUCUUAGGGUCUCUUCCAAAGUUUUCCUAGGUCUACCUCUACCCCUUCAGUCCUGAACCUCUAUCCCGUAGUCACAUCUUCGAACCGGAGCGUCAGUAGGCCUUCUUUGUACAUGUUCAAACCCAUUUUGUGUACGUGUUGAUGCUUCACCUCCCAACGUUUUGUGCCAUACAGCAUCGCCGGCCUUAUUGCCGUCCUAUAAAAUUUUCCCUUGAGCUUUAGUGGCCUACGACAGUCACACAACACGCCGGAAGCACUCUUCCACUUCAUCCAUCCAGCUUGUAUUCUAUGGUUGAGAUCUCCAUCUAAUUCUCCGUUCUUUUGCAAGAUAGAUCCUAGGUAGCGAAAACGGUCGCUCUUUGGUAUUUCCUGAUUUCCGAGCCUCACCCCUAACUCAUUUUGGCCUCCAUUUGCAAUGAACUUGAACUCCAUAUAUUCUGUCUUUGAUCGGCUUAGGCGAAGACCUUUAGAUUCCAACACUUCUCUCCAAAAGUUAAGCUUCGCAUUUACCCCUCCUGAGUUUCAUCUAUCAACACUAUAUCGUGUGCGAAAAGCAUACACCAAGGAAUAUCAUCUUGAAUAUGUCCUGUUAACUCAUCCAUUACCAACGCAAAAAGGUAAGGACUUAAGGAUUGUUGAUGCACAAAAUUAGUGAGGACUUUGGUACAACAGAAAGUAUUAAGUUUGUGAUCUUCGCUAGAUUGCUCUGGUCAUUAGUGUGGAUAAGUAUGUAAAUGGAUAGAGACAGGAAAGCAAACACAAGAUGUACGUGGUUCACCCAGAUUGGCUACGUCCACGGAGUAGAGGAGUUCUCAUUAAUUGUGAAAGGUUUACGUAAGUACAUAGGUUCAAGAUCUCCUUUAGUGAGUACAAGUGAAUGAUUUAGUACAAAUGACAUAGGUGCAAGCUCUCGUCUUCACUUGCCUUAACUGUCUCAUAGGUAGAUGUGGCAUCUUCUCUGUAAGUACGCUUCUUCCAUCCAGGGGUGGUAUCUUUAACUGGUGGAGAUACAUAAGGUAAUGUAUCAAUUUCACUUGAAGCUUAUUUGUAGUUUCAGGCUUGGUCAAGCGCGAUACAAACCAUGUAGUAGGAGUCCCCCAAGUCGUUGAGCUAGGGGAUCUGCUGAAAGAGGUGACAGACAAGGUAAGCAAUCAGAGCUCCAAGCAAUCAGUCCCAGAUCAGAAGUUUGAUUUCGAGUUCUGGCUGAUUGUUCUCAUUCUCCCUAUCUUGCAGGCAGCAUGAAGGAUAAAAAGAAGAAAAGGAGAAUAGACGAUAUGAGAUACUUUUGCUUUUGAAGAAGUAACUUUCCACAGACUUAUUCUUGAACUGGGCUGGAGGAUUUUCUAGUUUCCUCCAUAGUAUAAGGCCGACUGAAGAAUUUGAGGGUCAAAACACGUCCAUCAAAUCUAGAGUACAUUCGACCCUGCUGAUAUGGGAUACUUUUGUUGUUGACAAAGUAGUGGAUGUAUCGGCACGUGUUCUGUUACGCUUGUCUCCACAUGCUUCCUUGUAUCCUUCUCACUUUCCCUAUCUGUUCCUCAGGCAGAUGUGGUAUCUUCUCUGGAAGCAUAAGAUGUUGAAGAUGGGUACUCGAGAGCAAUGUCAGGUAAGUAAUCAGGUAAGGGGUUCCAGGCAGUCAGUUCCUGACUAGAAGCUUGAUUCCAAGUGCUGACUGAUUGCUCUCUCCUUGUCUUGCAGGUAAGAACAAGGCCAAAGGAAAAGACAGGGAAAAAGCAUGAUAUGGGAUACUCUUGCUUUUAACCCUGAUGAUAUGAGAUAUUCUUGCUCUGGUGUAGCUUGUUUGCAGAGGUAUUAUUGGGGGGAAAGAAAGCUGAGUAUUUCGAGAGGCUUCGUUGGGAGUGCCCUCUCAAAUAUGAAGAAGGGUUGAGCAUUUUUGCAGGUCUGCCUGUCCGUUGAGGAUGGAGGUCGACAUAUAUAGGAGUUCCCCUAACAAUAAGUAGUAAUGUUAUUCCUUUACCCUGCUUGGUCAUAGCACGGUAGUGGGAGCUGCCAGCUUCACGUGUGUCAGAGCACUUUGAAAAAAUGGUCUGUGGUAUCCGGAAAGCUAAUGUUGAGUGUGAAGAUUACAGACAAGCUUUAUCCAAGGAGAUCUGGCUCUCAAAGUUGAGAAAGCGGUGCCUCUUCGGUUUUCGUACAAGCAAUCCUGUCGAGGAUCUGGCUCUCGAGAUUCGAAAAACGGUGCCUCUUCGAUUUUUGAGAGAGCAAUCCUGCAGGGAGUCUAGCUCUCGAGAUUCGGAGAGCGGUGUCUCUUCGAUUUUUGAGAAAGUAAUCAUGUUGGGAGUCUGGCUCUCGAGAUUCAGAGGACGGUGCCUCUUCGAUUUUGGAGCAAGCAAUCUUGUUGGGAGUGUUUUCUCGAAUGUAAGUAAAGGUUGGGCAUGUUUGCUAGUCUACCUUGCCACAGAGCACAGAGGUUGACACACAAGGACUUUCCAAUUAUCCAGCAGCGGUGCUGUUCCUUUACCCUUGUAGGUAAUAAUAUGGUAACUAGACCUUCAAAAUUUAUGUGUCUAAACUUUGUUAGUGCUGUUUCUUUGCUAUUCUUUUACUCUUCUUGGUCAUAGCGAUGUAGUGGGAGCUGCAAGCUUCACGUGUCUAAACUUUGUCAGAGAUCUUUGGCAAAGUUAUCUGUGGUACCCAUGAGCUGAUGGUGCGUGUGGAAAGUGGAUAAUUGAACAGUAAGAUUCACGUGCUUUCUACUUCACCAGAAAUCUUCAACAGAAUGCCCGUAAUUUCAGCAAAGCUGAGUGUGCAUGUGACAGGUGCUGACAAGGCUGAAAAAAGCAGGUGCCUCUUCGAUUUCUGAGAUCGGCCCUCGUGGUCUCUGAGCAGCCCAGCUUUUGAGAAAGCAAACGCCUCUUCGAUUUCUGAGAUCGGCCCUCGUGGUCUUUGAGCAGCCCAGCUUUUGAGAAAGCAAACGCCUCUUCGAUUUCUGGGCAGGCGCCUCUUCGAUUUCUGAAGCUCCGUCGAGUGCAGAUUUUUAUAGAGGCUAGCAUUAAGUUCCAAAGCACACUUGAAUCUUUACCAGUAGAAGCUCCCUUCUUGCACUUAUAAGAUCUUGAUUUGUCCGACCUCUUCUCUCUUCAACACCUUUGAAAAUGUCUGGCCCCUCCGACCGUCGUUUUGACUUGAACCUCGUUGAAGAGGCAGCCACGCCUUCUUCAGACAACAUAUGGCGCCCAUCCUUCUUAUCCCCUACUGGUCCGCUUACCGUUGGGGAUUCCGUGAUGAAGAAUGAUAUGACUGCUGCGGUGGUGGCCAGGAACCUUCUCACUCCCAAAGAUAAUAGACUACUUUCCAAAUGGUCUGAUGAGUUGGCUGUUAAGGAUUCUCUGGUUCUAAGUGUUCAGUGUGCAUGUUCUGUGUCUAAUAUGGCCCAACGCCUAUUUGCUCGAACCCGCCAAGUUGAAUCAUUGGCAGCUGAAAUGAUGAGUCUCAAAUAGGAGAUUAGAGGGCUCAAGCAUAAGAAUAAACAGUUGCACCAGCUCGCACAUGACUAUGCUACAAACAUGAAGAGGAAGCUUGACCAGAUGAAGGAAUCUGAUGGUCAGGUUUUACUUGAUCAUCAGCGGUUUGUGGGUUUGUUCCAAAGGCAUUUAUUGCCUUCGUCUUCUGGGGCUGUACCGCGUAAUGAAGCUCCAAAUGAUCAACCUUCGAUGCCUCCUCCUUCUAGGGUUCUGUCCAGUACUGAGGCUCUGAGUGAUCCCCCUCCGGUGCCUUCUCUUUCUGGGGCUCGACCGACUGCUGAGACUUCUCCUAAGCAACCUUUGUGAAGGCUCCCUCUUGUUUGUUUAUUUUGACUCAUGUAUAUGUACAUAUUUGUAACUUAUCGGAGAUAUCAAUAAAUAAGCUUUGCUUCAUUUCAAUGUAUUGUGUUAAAUACACCAAAGGUAUGAAAGGCACUUCAGGUGCAAUUUUGCUCCUACUUUCAACUUAUGAGGGCAAUUACUUUUUUAUGGGAAGACUUCAAAGGUUUCUUUUUCUUUGUUUAAAAGUAAUUGUGGAGUUAUCAAGAGGAAAUGGGUUAACAUUAUGUCAGAAUAGCGUCUCUAUCACCAUAUCUCAUGGAAAGACAAGAUACAAAAACUAAAAUCAAAGGCAACAGAAGCUUCAGCUUUCACCAGAAAAUCACUCGUAAAGAACUCAGAUUGUAAACAUUAAGCAAGAGAGGUGAAAGGUAAACUUAUGGUAAUUAAGGUGGUCCGUAUACCAAAUUUGAGGUGUAGGCGCAAAACUCGUAACUAGGCUAUUUAUAUAUAUAUUCUAUUCUCUUAGUCGGGUUUAAUAACUAUUUUCUUAUCCUUGUGGAUUAUUAUUUGCUAUAAUUAAUUCAUUUCCUUUUGGGAUUUUACUUUUAGAUUAUAUAACCACAUCAAUCUCUAUUACUCAACCCUAGUUCAGCCUAUAUGGAUAUUCAGAAUGCAAGACUAACUUUGAAUUUAUUUUUUCUUUCAGUUUGGGAUUUAGCUUUUUAUCUUCCCUCCCCUGUGCUGCAACAUACAAGACUAACUCUGUUCCUUUUAUAUAAAUCCAAUUACCAAAUAUAAAUCACAAAAUUUUAUGUACACUACCACUACACAUAUCAACCUCUAAAAAGAAAAGCAAGAAAUCAAGAAAGACCAAGGCUUGCUUUAGCCCUAUAGUUUAAUGUGACCAGAUAUUUGCAUAGGACUCUGGUUCUCCAUUCCAUGAUGGUUAGAUGCUGAAGUACUGGAAAGAACAGAAGUCGUCAUGUUUGAAAGAGAGGCAUGAUGCAUCUAUUUAAAAGUGUUGGUGACAACGAACAUGUGGUGGGAAGAUGGGACACACCUACUUGGCAAGAUAGCCAGGCAUAAAAAUUUCUAUUGACUAAGUCCAAUGCACAUCCAUGUUACAUUUUAAUACAAGAAGUCAUAUAUGGCAAAGAUAAAAUUCCAAAAUUAGACUACUUCCAUAGAGAGUCUAGACACCUACAUCUGGCAACCACAACAAAAUAAUAUAUUUACCAAGGUCAUCCAAAAAAAAAGUGUGCCCCAUAAAAACAUAUAAUAAAGACCAUUUUCAUAACAAAAUCAAAUUAAUGACAUAAAAAUGACAGUAUUACCUAUAAUACAAUAUGAUAAACAGACCGAAAUCACAUAAUACAAAAGUAAAAUAAGAAUAAAAUAAGAUUCCGUCCAAAAUGUGCACCUAUGAUAAUCUAGAUAUCAUGAAAGCACAUGCAUAAAAUCAGGAAAGUGCAUAAGUGCAAAAAUCGUACUCGAUGAUGUCUCAGCAAGGGGUCUCUGAGAUUGAUAUAACUGCUUUUGCUGAUCCAUUACAUUUUGAGCUUGAAGCAUGGUUCCUGAUAUCUGACCUGAUGCUUGAAGCCUUUGCUGCAUAUCUCGUUGCAGUGGAUUUGACUGCUGUUGCAAACCCAUUUGUUGCAUCUGUGGCUGUGAUUGAAUCUGUGACAUCAUUUGUUGCUGUGAUGCUUGCGGUUGUGACUGCUGUCCUUGAGUCGGUAACAUGUUAGAUGCAUUCGGAUGUUGUUGCUGCUGCACCUGAACCUUGGAUUGUUGCAACAAGUGUACAGAGUGCUGAUUUGGUUGCAUACUAGAAUUACCACUUUGAGUUCCAAGGUGCUGCUGUUGCUGUAAUCCGGUAACAUUACUCUGAGAGCCCAACUGUUGCUGAUGCAUAUUUGAAAGGUUGCUUUGCUGCUGUUGCUGUAACCCAGUAACAUUACUCUGCGGGCCCAAUUGUUGCUGAUGGAUAUUAGAAAGGUUGCUUUGCUGAGCCAUUAACUGCUGCUGCUGCUGCUGUUGUUGCUGUUGCUGCUGCUGCUGCUGCUGCUGUUGCUGUUGCUGUUGUUGCAGGUUUAAAAGAUUAUUCUGCUGGUUUAGUAACCUCUGUUGUUGCUGCUGCUGCAUAUCCCCGACAUUAGUUUGUUGUCCAAUCAUCUGAUUCUGGGACAAGUUUGAAGCAGUUGGCUGCUGCUGCUGCGGGGUUAAUAUUGGCUGUUGUGCCAUUGGUGUUUGCUGUUGAUGAACAGCUACCUGUUGAGGCUGCUGUUGCUGCCUGAGAACUGGCUGUGAAUGCUGCGGAAGCAUGGGUUGUGAUGACUGUUGCAUAGCAGAUUGUUGAUUCUGCUGGACAGAUGAUUGCACUGAAGGCUGCAUAACAGACGAUGUUGGCAUAACAGAUUGCUGGGAAGAUUGCAACUGAGUCGGUUGUAAAAGGUUCUGCUGCUGUUGCUGUUGCUGUUGCACAAGUUGUGGCAUAUUUCCCUGCUCAUAUUUUGGCUUCAAAAGCGAAUGUUGCAUCUGUUGAUGGUACAUAUACUGCUGGGAAUUCUGGGAAUUCUGGGAUUGCUGCGGCUGCUGCUGUUGGGGAGCUACCUGUUGCCUUCCUGGCAUUUGCCUUUGAGAAUUAGCAAAGACAUUGGAGGGUACCCCCUGGCCCAUGGAAUUCCCUAAUGAAUUCUGUGAACUUCCAGACAUAUUUUGCAUGUUUGGGUUUUGUCCACCUAUACUUGGGAUAGGAGUCUGGGUUAAACCGGAAGAAGGAGGUAGUGCAGAUGAUAAGCCAGACGAACUUUGAACUCCAGCAGGUGGAAUGUUAUUCUGAAUGCUCUGUGAUAAAAGUGGUUGGCGUCCUUGAGAUUGAUUAGCUGGUAACGGCAUAGAGAGUGAUUGCCCAUGAUUGGGGACUUGGGGUUGCAUACCUUGAUUGGGAACUUGGGGUUGCAUACCAAAAGACCCUAUUCAAGUAAAAUAGCAAGAAUAAACACCACAUAGCAAGCGUCAAAACAAGAAUACAAUAAAUGUCAUCCGGCGUGUUGUGUGACCGUCGUAGGCCACUGAAGCUCAAGGGAAAAUUUUAUAGGACGACAAUAAGGCCAGCGAUGUUGUAUGGCACAGAAUGUUUGGUGGUGAAGCAUCAACCCGUACACAAAAUGGGUGUAGCGGAGAUGAGGAUGCUUCGUGGGAUGUAUGGGCACACGAGAAAUGAUAAGAUUGGGAAUGAGGAUAUCCGAGGUAAAGUAGGAGUAGCCAAAAUUGAAGGAAAUAUGAGAGAAAAUCGGUUCCGGUGGUUUGGACAUGUGCAAAGAAGGCCUACUGACGCUCCGGUUCGAAAAUGUGACUACGGGACAGAGGUUCAGGACCGAAGGGGUAGAGGAAGACCUAGGAAAACUUUGAAAGAGACCCUAAGAAAAGACUUGAGUACUUGGAUCUAACGGAGGACAUGACACAAAACCGAGCGCAAUGGCGUUCUAGGAUUCAUAUAGCCGACCCCACUUAGUGGGAAAAGGCUUUGUUGUUGUUGUUGUUGUUGUAUUUGACCCAUUAAAUACAAGUGAAUAAAGAUAUCAAGAACGAAUCAUCUCAGUUAAGAAAUGCAGGAAUAAUUAAGAAAAAGAAAGUACGUUUCAUUAGUUGUUUUUACCCGGAUCAGGGGGCCUGUUGCUGUUACCCGCAGAGUUAGAUUGUAAAGGAUUGCCCAUUGAAUUCUGAGACUUGGUCUCCAUUGUGAGCAUCUUCAGAGAAAUUUUCCGUAGAUAAUCCGACUACAAAAUUAAAAAAUCCAUGCUAAAUUUAGAAUACAGUUCUAUCCAAAAUAUGAAGAAAGUUCAAGCAUAGACAACAUAUUUUUAAGAAGUCAUAUAUGUAAUAGAUAGGUAAGUAUUUAAGUACGCAAACAUUACAUGCACCAUAAGAAAUAAGAACUCUGGUAUUAUGGAAGCACCUGGCUUGUGGCUGCAGUAUAAAUCUUUUCCUCAAACCUUACAGCAAUUUUACUGAGUUCCUGUAAUCCAUCUUGUCCGGAGAAGGGAAGAUGCCUCUUCAACGUAUCCAUUCUAUACAUGCAAUAAAACCAACAUCAGUUACAGACUACCAAAAUGGGGGUAGCGUUCAUAAUAGCAAAGCUGGAUUAGACUACCGCUUGAAACAAAAAAAGUUCAACAAAGAAAAACACUUACAUCUUGUUGACAAUUCUUUGCCUCGAAUCAGCCUGCAGCUGACUCCUCCAAUCGCCGGCAUCCAUGGCAGCCUCUCCAACUUGAGAAGGCCUCCACUUAUUGGUAUCCAUCAAAUCCAAUCAACCCAACAAAACUGCCAAAAACAAAAGUACAGGACUGAGCAACUUCAACGAAAACCUACGAAAAGGGCACAAAAAAUUCGUACAAGAGCUAGCUAUUCGGACGACGAUACAGUUUAUAAUUACGCAGGCAUUUUUUUUGCAUCAGAAAUUGCAUUCAUUCAAGCUGAUUCUAAACACGAUUUAGGCGCCAUGAAAAAUCAAAACUUGCAAUUCAAUUCACAUACAACCGAAAACCAGAUACAAUUUACACAAUCAGAUCACAAAAACACCAACAAUAACGAAUUUUCCACAAAACCCACGAUCGAUCAACAUCUAAAACAAAAAACCCAACAAAAAUUGACCAAAAAGUUACCUCUUUUCUUUCAGAACAGGAGAGUUGAAGAUUGAAAGGUUCAGGUUGCCUGGAGUCAAACAAUGGAGAAAUUGCAGAACAGGGAAAUCGGGGGAUUGGGAAAGGAAGGAGGGUUCUUGCUCAAAAGCUUCAAACUUUGACAAGAUUUAAUGGAUUGAUGUGUUAGUAGGAAGGGAGAGCAACGAAAUAUCCUGUUUUAACCAAUGUCUGAUUUUUUUUUAGGUUUUUUUUUUAAAUUUGAAUUUUUCAGGGACAAAAAGACAAUAAAACCAUUGGCCUUAGGAAUUUAUAAGUUGCCACUUACCACUUUAUCCUAAUCCUAGGCUUUCUUGUCAAAUACCAAUUGGAUAGGAAUAUUUCCAACUGAGUCAAAAGAACAAAGUAGUCUUAUUUAUAACUAGCUUCUUGGUACGCGCUCAAAUGCGCGAAUUAACUUUUAAACGUCAAUUAAUGUAUUAGCAUUUCAUUAGUUUUACGUCUUAUAUCAUCACUUUGAAACUUAUUUAUUUGUACUAAAUAAGAAACUACUAUAUAUAGUUGGUGUAAUAAGUUUGUGUCUUUAGCAUUAUUGAUGUAAAUAGACUGAUUUUCUUAUAUUCUUUUAUUUUAAAUUUAUUAGUUAUAUAACUUUACACUUUAUUGCUUUUCAAUGAAGACAGAACAAGGAGGAGAUCAAUUAUUCCUCAAUUAAUCUACUUCAUUAUUCCUCAAUCUGCUUCUUGACCAUUUUGGUAUUAGAUUCCAUAUAGUAAAGCGUCAUGUAACUUUCAUUUUCAUGUGUUAAUAAAUGUAAGAAUCUAAAUGAUUUUGCAUGUGAUUGGCAUGAAAUCCAAAUGUCCUCUUUAGUUCAAUAUAACAACCUCUUGUCCCGCGAGAUUUUGAAACCAUUACCUCCUCUGACGACAGGGCCGGUCUAGAGAUUUUUGAGGCCCGGGACGACGUAAAAAAAAGUGCCCUAACUUCAUGUAAGAAAAUUAUUUAUCUUCACACAUAAGACAUCGAAAAAAUUAUACUUAGAAAAACACUUCAAACUUAAUAAUUUAGAAACACAUAAAAACUAAUUUAUUUUGUAUUGAGAGAGGGAAACAAAAAAACUUCGGGCUUACAAGAAGAUAGAUGAUGAGUUUUGUUUUCCAUUUGAACUUUGAAUGUGUUUUUGAAUAAAUCGUGAUGUGUUUUUUUUCUUAUUUACUAACCUUGUCAAUAUGGGACUAAAAAAUAAUGAUGUUUUCGAGUUUUACUAAAUUAAACAUUUUGAUGACACGUCAUAUAAUUUGCAAAUUUGGUAUACGUAAUAUUCUUUGUUGAAGAUUAGACUUGAAUUAAAACGAAUAUUUAAAAAUAACAACCCACAUAGCUACUAGAUAGUAACUAAAUAUAAAUUACCAACCAAACAAAAAUUUGUAAAAAUUGAAAAGAAUAAACAUGCACAUAGCAUUUCGAACUUAGGACCUCUUGUUAAUUUUAACAACAAAAAUCAUUGUUUCUAAUUAAACUUCUUUAUCCUUUAACCAAAUUUUCUAAAUUUAUACUCUUAUAAAACGAAAUUUGUAAAAAAAAGGAAAGUAAAUAAGCACACAUGAUGUUUUGAACACAAGACCUCCUUAUUAUUUUUAAAUGACAAACCACCACUUCUAGUUAAAUUUCUGUGUCUUUGAAUCAAAUUUUAUAAAUUUAUACUCUUAUAAAAACAUAUAUAAAUAUAUCGCCCUAAUAAUUUUGGUGCCCCUAAUUUUUUUGGGCCCUGGACGGUCGCCCCUUCUGCACUGGGCCUGGGCCGGCCCUGUCUGACGAAAUGGAGAUCAAAAACCCAUUAGUACAAAGGUAGAAUACAACCAAACUCUAGGUAUAGCAAUUUUUGUUCUCUCUAACAAAAGCCAACAAAUGCAGAUGACGCUUUACCAUAGUGACGAAAAACAAUUAUGUCUACGCACCCCAACCAACCUCCUCACCCCUAACAAAGGCCAAUACAUUGAUAUCGUCUACCCUUCUAAAGUCAUCACAUUUUUAUUCAGAGAAUGGAGGAGAGAAGCUGAAGUAGCGUAUGAGGCCACGAGAACAUGGAAAUUCAGACCAAAGGAGCAUAAAAACCAUAUGGAAAAGAUGAUGAUGCAUGUGGAACAAUUGACAAACUUGAUAGAAAAGAUGUGAUGGGCAAACACGACGCCUUUUCAGGUUGGAGGGGGCCUUUGUGGUCUGAGAGAGAGAGAGGGAGAGAGAGAGAGAGAGAGCUCCUCUAAUUCAAUCAUAUAAAAGUAAAACUGAUGAUAAAUCAUUCCAAACACACAAAUAACGUUAUAAAAAUGCAGUCUCUUUAAUUAAUUAUUGACAAAUAGCUUGAAAUCUUUCAAAAUGCGGUCCAUUCAUUUUGCGGUUGCGGUUGUGAUUUCUUCGUUUUGUUGAAGCUCGCCCAGCCUCUCAACAACGGUGCAAUCCACUUUACAUAUGAGGAGGUGGGGGGAGCUGCCCUUGUUGCAGAGGAGGACCUUGCUUCCUCGGUCUAUUUGUAUUAAUAAAAUUUACUAUCUGCUUCUCAUACAUACCCAACUUCUCUUUCAAACCAGAUGUAAUGCUACUCUUGGGAAUCUGUAAGACUGAUAUGAGGCGCUCCAACAUGGUUUUGAACAUUUUUAGCUUCUCAAGCUGCUCUGACUUUGGUUGUUGUGGAAGAGAAUCGUGCUGGCAAACAGAAAGAACAGACGUCAGUAAGCAAAAGAAUGGCAAUAUAAGGAGUAACAACUUUGUCGCGAAAUCUUAUUAGCAUUAUUGGUGAGGUAACAAUCCCAAUUAGACAGUCUACAUGGGUACAAUAAUUAAAAGGGAGAUCAAGGUAGAAUCCAUCAAAGAGCAGCACCACAAUAACCUAGCAGGGAAAGCCCCGCUUAUUGCUAAAAGUUCAAGCAACAAAUUAUGAGAGAAGAAAAAAUUGAAUUGAUUACAUACCUGCUGAAGUUUAGUAGCAAUUUUCUGAUACAUUUCACUUAGUUCGGGUACGUACCUUUCCUUCAUGACUUUGAUCUGCAAAUGAAAGUUAUAAAUACAAAGAUGAUUAGAAAGAACUUUGCUGCAGCUACAUGCUUGCCGAUACUCAUGAAUUCAGACAGCAUGAAUUCAUGUAUGCUUGUAUCUAAUGAAGCAAGUUUUAAUUAACUCCCAACCGAUGGUAGCUUAACAAAGCUGCCCCACAAGGAAUCUUAACUAGCAUGUAAUUUCUUCAAAAUCCCCAUUCAAGGCAAUUUUGGCAUUAGUAUAAUUAUUUUCCAGUAGCUCUAUUCCCACCCCCACGCCAAAUAAUUUGUGUUUUUAUAUUUAGAUGUUGUAUGUGAAAGCCAUCAAAUGGACAAGAAGUCAGGACAUCUUACUUUUUGAUAGACCUCCUCUUGCCAAUCACCCCCAUUUGCAUAUCCAGUCUGAGCUGAGGAAUCUAGAGAAGCUACAAAAUAUAGAGAGAUAUAUAUGUCAAUGUUUGCACAUAAAAUGAAAUUUGAACACGAGGGUUAAAAAUGAGAAAGAAAAAAAAAAGCAUUGCAUGGAAAACAUUGAUAUGGAAAAUUAUCCUUCCCAAACAGUUGAGGUGCAAUUUUGCUCCUACUUUCUGCUUAUGACAGCAAUUACAUUUUUAUGGGAAGACUUCAGGUGCAAUUUUGCCCUUGAUUGGGGACUUGGGGUUGCAUACCGAAAGACCCUACUCAAGUAAAUAGCGAGAAUAAACACCAUAUCAAGAAUAAACACCAUAUAAACAAGCAUCAAAACAAGAAAACAAUAAAUGUCAUUUGUACUCAUCAUUUGAUCCAUUAAAUACAAGCGAAUAAAGAUAUCAAGAACGAAUCAUCUCAGUUAAGAAAUGCGGGAGUAAUUAAGAAAAAGAACGAACAUUUCUCGCAACAGAUCAACCAUCAAGAAGAAAGGUAGCCAAGAGAGAAAAGGGCAGUUUUCAAUAGUUGUUUUUACUGUUACCAGCAGAGUUAGAUUGUAAAGGAUUGCCCAUUGAAUUCUGAGACUUGGUCUCCAGUGUGAGCAUCUUCAGAGAAAUUUUCCGUAGAUAAUCCGACUACAAAAUAAAAAAAUCCAUGCUAAAUUUAGAAUACAGUUCUAUCCAAAAUAUGAAGAAAGUUCAAACAUAUACAACAUUUUUUUAAGAAGUCAUAUAUGUAAUAGAUAGGUAAGUAUUUAAGUACACAAACAUUUCAUGCACCAUAAGAAAUAAGAACUCUGGUAUUAUGGAAGCACCUGGCUUGUGGCUGCAGUAUAAAUCUUUUCCUCAAACCUUACAGCAAUUUUACUGAGUUCCUGCAAUCCAUCUUGUCCGGAGAAGGGAAAAUGCCUCUUCAACGUAUCCAUUCUAUACAUGCAAUAAAAUCAACACCAGUUACUGACUACCAAUAUGUUUUAAGUUUGAAGUCCUCCCGCCAUAGUUUAGAUUAGAUUACGCUAAAUUAGACUACCGCUUGAAACAAAAAAAAGAAUCGACAAAGAAAAACACUUACAGAUUGUUGACAAUUCUUUGCCUUGAAUCAGCCUGCAGCUGACUCCUCCAAUCGCCGGCAUCCAUGGCGGCCUCUCCAACUUGAGAAGGCCUCCACUUAUUGGUAUCCAUCAAAUCCAAUCAACCCAACAAAACUGCCAAAAACAAAAGCACAGGACUGAGCAACUUCAACGAAAACCUACGAAAACGGCACAAAAAUUCGUACAAGAGCUAUUCGAACGACGAUACAGUUUAUAAUUACGCAGGCAGUUUUUUUGCUUCAGAAAUUGCAUUCAUUCAAGCUGAUUCUAAACACGGUUUAGGCGCCAUGAAAAAUCAAAACUUGCAAUUCACAUACAAUCGAAAACCAGAUACGAUUUACACAAUCAAAUCAAAAAAAAAAAAAACAAUAACGAAUUUCCCACAAAACCCACGAUCGAUCAACAUCUAAAACAAAAAACCCAACAAAAUUUGACCAAAAAGUUACCUCUUUUGUUUCAGAACAGGAGAAUUGAAGAUUGAAAGGUUCAGGUUGCCUGGAGUGAAACAACGGAGAAAUUGCAGAACUGGGAAAUCGGGGGAUUGGGAAAGGAAGGAGGGUUCUUGCUCAAAAGCUUCAAACUUUGACAAGAUUGAAUGGAUUGAGGGGAUGGUUUGGGAGUGACAUAAAAAAAAAAAGCACCAUGAAAAAAAGUGCGAGAGUUUUAGGUGUUUGGUAAACUGAAGAAAAAAAAGCUUAUUUUGGAAGCUGAUGUGAGAAUAAGCUGAAAUUAAAAGAAAAAGCUGAAGCUGCUAUUUGCAGCUUUGGAAAACUGGCAUUUUUUCAAAACACACAGAGCUAGAGUGCUCUUUUAAUGAAAAGACCCACUAUCAGAUUGUUUUUUUUUUUUUUCAAAAGCACUUUUACAAAAAAGUUUACCAAACACUCUACUGAUUUAUUUCACAGCUGCUUAUUCUCACAACAACUUUUUUUUCAAAGCACAGCAAUAUCAGACCAGCCCUGAUGCGUCUGAUGUGGUCUUUUUAGUUAAGUAGGAAGGGAGAGACAACAAAUAUCCCGUUUUAACCAAUGUCUGAUUUUUUAGGUUUUUUUUUAUAGAAAAACUAAUGAAAAGCGUCUGAAAUGUUUUAGUUUUAAUAAAAAAUCAUGUUAUAAGUUUUGUUUAAUGAUUAGUAUAAAACUCAUAUUAAAGUAGUCCAACUAAAAAUGGUCUAACUAUAAUAACUUAUUAUUUGUUGAUUUUACCUUUAACUUUUUUAGGUUGACUUUCAGAUUUUCGUCGUUAAUGAAGUUCAUCGUUGUUUUGCAGACUUUCUUCUUUUUCUUUGAAACAAAAAUAUAGAUCCUCAUGCAAGUUAAUUUAUAUUUUGUAUUAUUUUGUUGAAACGUGAUUGUUGUUAUUAUUCAUAAAGUAUUCGAAAUAUUGUUUUUCAAUUUUUCUUUGUUAGUGGAGUUCAUCGUUUGUUUUUACAAAAAAAAAUUUGAGAUCUGCAUGUUAUUCAAUAAUAACGAUGGUCAGUGUUUCUGGACUGUAAAAAUAAACUGUUUCUGGAUUUUAAGUAACACUGUUUCUGGAUCUAAAUGAAAUAGACACACUGUUUCUUAAAUGAAAGCUAGAAAAGAAAUAGUGAAAUUCAUUGUAUUUGAAUUCAAAGAAAAAUAAGCAUCAUGUUUUUUAAAUAUAAUCAACUGAUGCAUGCAAGAAAAGAAACAAUCAAAGGUUAAAACAUAGACUGUUUCUGGAAUUUAAAGCACUGUUUUUUGAAUUUAAGUCAUUGUUUAUGGAUUUUGGUUCUUUUAUUUUCAGAUAGAGUGUUUGUUUGUGCACAGAAAAAACAAAAAAUGUAUCUGAUUUUUUUUUUCCAAAAAUAGUGUUAUGUUUUGGGUUCUCCAGAAACAGUUUUAUGUUUUGGUUUUUUUUUUCCUAUUUACAAACGCCUGACAUGUAUGUACAUCACCGGGACCGUAGGUCCUUAUUGGAUCUGAUUGGAAUAAAAUACUAACACUAUAAAUUGUUCGUGGUGCAGAUAAGAGGAUGAGGAUGAGGACGAUGACGAGGACAAGGAGGAUAAGGGCACGAAAAAGGUAGACAAUAGUUUUGGAUGAUUUUUUAUUAAACUUUGAGCCCUUUUGGUUAAAUAAUAUUUUAGGAUGAUUUUUGGUUAAAUAUUUGUUGGCCCAAAUCAUUUUCAUUAAAGCUCCAUUUUUUUAUUUAUGUUUGAAAUUUGAAUUUUUUAGGGACAAAAUGACGAUAAAACCAUUGUCCUUAGGACUUUAUAAGUUGCCACUUACCACUUUAUCCUAAUCCUUCUAGGCUUUCUAGUCAAAUCCCAAUAGGAUAGGAAUAUUUCCGACUGUGUCAAAAGAACAAAGUAAUCUUCUUUAUAACUAGCAUCUCGGUAUGCGCUUAAAUGCGCGAAUUGACUUUUAAACACCAAUUAAUGUGUUGGCAUUUCAUUAGUUUUAUGUUUUAUAUCAUCACUUUGAAACUUAUUUAUUUGUACUAAAUAAGAAAUUGCUAUAUAUAGUUGGUGUAAUAAGUUUGUGUCUCUAACAUUAUUGAUGUAAAUAGACUGAUUUUCUUAUAUUUUUUUAAUUUUUUAUUUAUUAAUUAUAUAACUUUACACUUUAUUGCUAUUCAAAGAAGACAGAACAAGGAGGAGAUCAAUUAUUCCUCAAUUAAUCUACUUCUUGACCUUUUUGGUAUUAAGUUACAUAUAGUAAGCAUCACGUAACUUUUAUUUUCAUGUGUUAAUAAAUGUAAGAAUCCAAAUGAUUUCGUGGUUGGCAUGAAAUCUUCAAUAUAACCUCUUGUCCCAUGAGAUUUGAAACCAUUACAUCAUCCGACAAAAUGGAGAUCCAAAAACCAUUAGUACAAAGGUAGAAUACAACCAAACUCUAGGUAUAGCAAUAUUUUUUUCUCUCUAACAAAAGCCAAUACAUGCAGAUGACGCUUUAUCAUAGUGACGAAAAACAAUUAUAUCCAUGCACCCCAACCAACCUCCUCACCCCUAACAAAAGCCAAUACAUUGAUAUCCUCUACCCUUAUAAAGUCAUCACAUUUUUAUUCAGAGAAUGGAGGAGAGAAGCUGAAGUAGCAUAUGAGGCCAUGAGAACAUGUUCAACAUGGAAAUUCAGACCAACGAAGCAUAAAAACCAUAUGGCAAAGAUGAUGAUGCAUCUGGAACAAUUGACAAACUCGAUAAAAAAGAUGUGAUGUGCAAACACGACGCCCUUUCAGGUUGGAGGGGGCCUUUGUGGUCUGAGACUCGGUCUCCAUUGUGAAGUCACGGCCCAGGAUCAUGGAAGUACCUGGACUGUGGCUGCAGUAUACUAAUAAGAGAGAGAGAGAGAGAGAGAGAGAGAGCUCCUCUAAUUCAACCAUAUAAAAGUAAAACUGAUGAUAAAUCAUUCCCAUAGUCAUACAAUAAAAGUAAAUAACAUUUCUACUGUUCCAAACACACAUACAACGUCAAAAAAAUGCAGUCUCUUUAAUUAAUUAUUGGCAAAUAGCUAGAAAUCUUUCAAAAUGCGGUCCAUUCAUUUCGCGAUUGCGGUUGCGGUUUCUUCGUUUUGUUGAAGCUCGCCAGCAUCUCUACAAUGGUGCAAUCCACUUUACAAUGCACUGUGCAGUGCCCAUUGCACUUCCUUUUCCACUGCCCUGGCAUUAUCAGCAGAAUCCGCAUAUGUUUGACAAUAUUUUUCCGCGUAUGUUGCAAAUGAUAUAAAUUCUUCAGGCGUCACAUCCUUCUUGCCCUUGUUUCUUCUUCUGGCAGCAGCAGUGGCGGGAGUAGCAGCACCACACCGAUGACAACGCCCAGCCUUCCACCUCACAGCAGCAAACAGAUGCACUCAAUGCAUCUGAGCCAAUGUCACUGACAGAUGCACUCAAUGCAUUAGGUGACAUCGAUUUCACCUGCAAGUUCAAAAUCCAGAAAUUUAAUUUAAGCACAAGUGAGGGAAGGAAAAGACCAACUUAGAUGCUAAGUACUGAAACAUCAUUACAGCACUCAAAAAGAGAAAUAUGUAAUAAGAACCACUUUACUAACCGCGUUCAAGAGGCUGCUCGGUAACACUCGAUUUGCUAGAAAUAGUUGACAAAGCAUUAAAAUGACUAGCAUCUGGUACAAUAAAUUCAGCAAGCAAAGGAGAUGCCAACAUCCCACUAGUGCCAAUUGCAAGGGACUGGACUGGUGCUCCCACCCCAGCUGCUUGUUGAUGUCCGAUAUUCCCAGCAUUUGGUAGUGAGGAAGGUUUCUCAGAAUCCCCUGGCAUGGGGGAUGGAACCAUGGGAGUUGAAGGAGAUGGGAUGACAACAGGUGAACCGGCAGUUUGCAAUGGUGUUCCAGCUUUCAGGUGAGUCAGUAGAUUCUUGUGGUCAACUUGGGGAGAAGAAUGUUGCGAAAUUUGACAAGAUGCAGCCUGAAUGAGUUGGUUUGAUGAUGGAAUAGGAAAUGGAGAUCCUAAUUUCAACUGCUGAUGCGGAUAAGCAUGCUGGCCUGCGGAUAUAUGUUGCUGAAAAACCCCUGGCUUAACACCCAUCCCCUGUCUCAUCUUCAAGUCAUUUGCAUCAUUCAUUUGAUGAAGCAGUGGCAUUUGGUGUUGGUUCGCCUCCACCUGCGCCGGAAGCUGCUGGUUUGCUUGCAGCAACUGUUGAUGCUGCUGUUGCUGUUGCAGUAUCUGCUGCUUCUGUAUCAAUUGCCGCUGCAUUCGCUGUUGAUACUGUUGCUUCAGUUGAUUCUGAAACAUUUGCUGUUCCUGCUGUUUUAAUUGCUGGUGUUGAAGCAUACCAGAAUUUGACUGAAGGGAGAUAAUAUGGCUGAAGCAUACUAACCCCACUCUGCGAUGACAAACCAUUCAUGUUAGCUUGCUGGGGAGCACUGACAGGAGUUUGUUGGAUAGAUCCCACCGGAACUUGCUGCAAAGAGUUCAGUGCAUUUCCCUGUCCUGAAUCCAAAUUUGUACUCAGCUGCAAUGAAUUCAUCAUGUUCUGUUGUGCUGUUGAAACCCCAGAUAUCGAAGACAUUGAAUUUUGCUCCAAGCUUGUCAUAUAGUUCUGCUGCAUUGUUGGCACAGAACCUUGUAAAUUCAUUGUUUGCAACUGAGGGUUCAUUUGAUUUUCAUGAGACUGCACUUGAGGAGUUUGAGGCUGCGGCUGCUGCAUGGAGUGCAUAUGAGGUGGGGGGAGCUGCCCUUGUUGCAGAGGAUCUUGCUUCCGUGGUCCAUUUGUAUUAAUAAAAUUUACUAUCUGCUUCUCAUAUAAACCCAACUUGUCUUUCAAACCAGGUGAAAUGCUACUCUUGGAAAUCUGUAAGACUGAUAUGAGGCGCUCUAACAUGGUUUUGAACAUUUUAAGCUUCUCAAGCUGCUCUGACUUUGGUUGUUGUGGAAGAGAAUCGUGCUGGCAAACAGAAAGAACAGACGUCAGUAAGCAAAUGAAUGGCAAUAUAAGGAGUAACAACUUUGUUGCGAAAUCUUAUUAGCAUUAUUGGUGAGGUAACAAUCUCAUGUAGACGGUCUACAUGGGUACAAUAAUUAAAAGGGAGAUCAAGGUAGAAUCUAUCAAAGAGCAGCACCACAAUAACCUCGCAGGGAAAGCCCCGCUUAUUGCUAAAAGUUCAAGCAACAAAUUAUGAGAGAAGAAAAAAUUGAAUUGAUUACAUACCUGCUGAAGUUUAGUAGCAAUUUUCUGAUACAUUUCACUUAGUUCGGGUAAGUACCUUUCCUUCAUGACUUUGAUCUGCAAAUGAAAGUUACAAUACAAAGAUGAUUAGAAAGAACUUUGCUGCAGCUACAUGCUUGCCGACACCAUCAUAACAUCAAUGCCAAUGGAAAAGAGCCCGUGCAUGCAACCAUGAAUUCAUGUAUGCUUGUAUCUAAUGAAGCAAGUUUUAAUUAACUCCCAACCGAUGGUAGCUUAACAAAGCUGUCCCACAGGGAAUCUUAACUAGCAUGUAAUUCUUCAAAAUCCCCAUUCAAGGCAAUUUUGGCAUUAGUAUAAUUCUUUUCCAGUAGCUCUAUUCCCACCCCCAAGCCAAAUAAUUUGUAUUUUUAUAUUUAGAUGUUGUAUGUGAAAGCCAUCAAAUGGACAAGAAGGCAGGACAUCUUACUUUUUGAUAGACCUCCUCUUGCCAAUCACCCCCAUUAGCAUGUCCAGCCUGAGCUGAGGAAUCCAGAGAAGCUGCAAAAUAUAGAGAGAUAUAUGUCAAUGUUUGCACAUAAAAUGAAAUUUGAACACGAGGGUUAAAAAUGAGAAAGAAAAAAAAAAAAAAAAAGCAUUGCAAGCAGAACAUUGAUAUGGAAAAUUAUCCUUCCCAAACAGUUGAAAUGUAUUUUUUGUAAAACAAAAUAUAAAUAUCAUUCCAUACAUCAUAAGCAAAAUCUAAGAACAGACAAGAAGCUUCAUGAGCCAGUGGAAAAGGACCAUGCAUGCUCUAGAUUGAGGAAAAUAUAUCCAUGGGCAGCAACAUUUAGUAAACACAGUAGUCCACCGAAAGCUCUUUAUCUAUAAACCAAUAGAAGCAAAACUGAAGAAUAAAAAGUAAAAACCCAUGUUUUCAAUACCCAAAGGUAUGAAAGGCACUUCAGGUGCAAUUUUGCUCCUACUUUCAGCUUAUGAGGGCAAUUACUUUUUUAUGGGAAGACUUCAAAGGUUUCUUUUUCUUUGUUUAAAAGUAAUUGUGGAGUUAUCAAGAGGAAAUGGGUUAACAUUAUGUCAGAAUAGCGUCUCUAUCACCAUAUCUCAUGGAAAGACAAAGAUACAAAAACUAAAAUCAAAGGCAACAGAAGCUUCAGCUUUCACCAGCAAAUCACUCGUAAAGAACUCUGAUUGUAAACAUUAAGCAAGAGAGGUGAAAGGUAAACUUAUGGUAAUUAAGGUGGUCCGUAUACCAAAUUUGAGGUGUAGGCGCAAAACUCGUAACUAGGCUAUUUAUAUAUAUAUUCUAUUCUCUUAGUCGGGUUUAAUAACUAUUUUCUUAUCCUUGUGGAUUAUUAUUUGCUAUAAUUAAUUCAUUUCCUUGUGGGAUUUUACUUUUAGAUUAUAUAACCACAUCAAUCUCUAUUACUCAACCCUAGUUCAGCCUAUAUGGAUAUUCAGAAUGCAAGACUAACUUUGAAUUUAUUUUUUCUUUCAGUUUGGGAUUUAGCUUUUUAUCUUCCCUCCCCUGUGCUGCAACAUACAAGACUAACUCUGUUCCUUUUAUAUAAAUCCAAUUACCAAAUAUAAAUCACAAAAUUUUAUGUCCACUACCACUACACAUAUCAACCUCUAAAAAGAAAAGCAAGAAAUCAAGAAAGACCAAGGCUUGCUUUAGCCCUAUAGUUUAAUGUGACCAGAUAUUUGCAUAGGACUCUGGUUCUCCAUUCCAUGAUGGUUAGAUGCUGAAGUACUGGAAAAGAACAGAAGUCGUCAUGUUUGAAAGAGAGGCAUGAUGCAUCUAUUUAAAAGUGUUGGUGACAACGAACAUGUGGUGGGAAGAUGGGACACACCUACUAGGCAAGAUAGCCAGGCAUAAAAAAUUUCUAUUGAUUAAGUCCAUUGCGCAUCCAUGCUACAUUUUAAUACAAGAGGUCAUAUAUGGUACAGAUAAAAUUCCAAAAUGAGACUACUUCCAUAGAGAGUCUAGACACCUACAUCUGGCAACCCACAACAAAAUAAUAUAUUUACCAAAGUCAUCCAAAAAUAGUGUGCCCCCAUAAAAACAUAUAAUAAAGACCAUUUUCAUAACAAAAUCGGAUUAAUGACAUAAAAAUGACAAGGUUACCUAUAAUACAAUAUGAUAAACAGACCCAAAUGACACAUAAUACAAAAGUAAAAUAAGAAUAAAAUAAUAUUCCGUCCAAAAUGUACACCUAUGAUAAUCCAGAUAUCAUGGAUGCACAUGCAUAAAAUCAGGAAAGUGCAUAAGUGCAAAAAUCGUACUCAAUGAUGUCUCAGAAAGGGGCCUCAGAGACUGAUAUAACUGCUUUUGCUGAUCCAUUAUAUUUUGAGCUUGAAGCAUGGUUCCUGAUAUCAGACCUGAUGCUUGAAGCUGCAUAUCUCGUUGCAGUGGAUUUGACUGCUGUUGCAAACCCAUUUGUUGCAUCGGUGCAGACUGUGAUUGAAUCUGUGACAUCAUUUGUUGCUGCGAUGCCUGAGGUUGUGACUGCUGUCCUUGAGUCGGUAACAUGUUAGAUGCAUUCUGAUGUCGUUGUUGCUGCACCUGAAUCUUGGAUUGUUGCAACAAGUGUACAGAGUGCUGAUUUGGUUGCAUACUAGAAUUACCACUUUGAGUUCCGAGGUGCUGCUGUUGCUGUAACCCAGUAACAUUAUUAUGCAGGUCCAAUUGUUGCUGAUGGAUAUUAGAAAGGUUGCUUUGCUGCUGUUGGUGUAACCCAGUAACAUUAUUCUGAAUGUUCUGUGCUAAAAGUGGUUGGCGUCCUUGAGAUUGAUUAGCUGGCAACGGCAUAGAGUGUGAUUGCCCUUGAUUGGGGACUUGGGGUUGCAUACCGGAAGACCCUACUCAAGUAAAUAGCAAGAAUAAACACCACACAAACAAGCGUCAAAACAAGAAUACAAUAAAUGUCAUUUGUACUCAUCAUUUGAUCCAUUAAAUAACAGCAACUAAAGAUAUCAAGAACGAAUCAUCUCAGUUAAGAAAUGCAGGAGUAAUUAAGAAAAAGAACGAACGAUUCUCGCAAUAAAUUAACCAUCAAGAAGUAAGCUAGCCGGGAGAGAAAAGGGCAGUUUUCAAUAGCUGUUUUUACCUGGAUCAGGGGGCCUGUUGCUGUUACCAGCAGAGUUAGAUUGUAAAGGAUUGCCCAUUGAAUUCUGAUACUUGGUCUCCAUUGUGAGCAUCUUCAGAGAAAUUUUCCGUAGAUAAUCCGACUACAAAAAUAAAAAAAUCCAUGCUAAACUUAGAAUACAGUUCUAUCCAAAAUAUGAAGAAAGUUCAAACAUAGACAACAUUUUUUUAAGAAGUCAUAUAUGUUAUAGAUAGGUAAGUAUUUAAGUACGCAAACAUUUCGUGCACCAUAAGAAAUCAGAACUCCGGAAUUAUGGAAGCACCUGGCUUGUGGCUGCAGUAUAAAUCUUUUCCUCAAACCUUACAGCAAUUUUACUGAGUUCCUGUAAUCCAUCUUGUCCGGAGAAGGGAAGAUGCCUCUUCAAUGUAUCCAUUCUAUACAUGCAAUAAAACCAACAUCAAUUACUGACUACCAAAACGGGGGUAGCAUUCAUAGCAAAACUGGAUUCGUAUACAAUCCACUAAAAUAUGUAUUAAGUUUGCAUCCCUCUCGCCAUAGUUUAGAUUAGAUUACGCUAAAUUAGAGUACUGCUUGAAACAAAAAUAAAAAUUUGACAAAGAAAAACACUUACAUCUUGUUGACAAUUCUUUGCCUUGAAUCAGCCUGCAGCUGACUCCUCCAAUCGCCGGCAUCCAUGGCGGCCUCUCCAACUUGAUAAGGCCUCCACUUAUUGGUAUCCAUCAAAUCCAAUGAACCCAACAAAACUGCCAAAAACAAAAGCACAGGACUGAGCAACUUCAACGAAAACCUACGAAAAUGGCACAAAAAUUCGUACAAAAGCUAGCUAUUCGAACGACGAUACAGUUUAUAAUUACGCAGGCAUUUUUUUGCAUCAGAAAUUGCAUUCAUUCAAGCUGAUUCUAAACACGAUUUAGGCACCAUGAAAAAUCAAAACUUGCAAUUCACAUACAAUCGAAAUCCCGAUACCAUUUACACAAUCAGAUCACAAAAACACCAAAAGUAACGAAUUUUCCACAAAACCCACGAUCGAUCAACAUCUAAAACAAAAACCCAACAAAAAUUGACCAAAAAGUUACCUCUUUUCUUUCAGAACAGGAGAGUUGAAGAUUGAAAUGUUCAGGUAGCCUGGAGUGAAACAAUGGAGAAAUUGCAGAACUGGGAAAUCGGGGGAUUGGGAAAGGAAGGAGGGUUCUUGAUCAAAAGCUUCAAACUUUGAGAAGAUUGAAUGGAUUGAUGCAUCCGACUGUGGUCUUUUUAGUUUGAAGUAGGAAGGGAGAGACAACAAAUAUCCUAUUUUAACCAAUGUCUGAUGUUUUAGGUUUUUUUAAUUUAUUUUUGAAUUUUGAAUUUUUUAGGGACAAAAUGACAAUAAAACCCUUGUCCUUAGGACUUUAUAAGUUGCCACUUACCACUUUAUCCUAAUCCUUCUAGGCUUUCUAGUCAAAUUCCAAUAAGAUAGGAAUAUUUCCAAUUGAGUCAAAAGAAGAAAGUAAUCUUCUUUAUAACUAGUUUUUCGGUACGCACUUAAAUACGCGAAUUGACUUUUAAAUGCUAAUUAAUGUGUUGGCUUCAUUAGUUUUAUGUCUUAUGUCAUCACUUUGAAACUUAUUUAUUUGUACUGAAUAAGAAAUUGCUAUAUAUGGUGUAAUAAGUUUGUGUCUCUAACAUUAUUGAUGUAAAUAGACUGAAUUUCUUAUAUUUUUACAAUUUUAAAUUUAUUAUUAUAUAACUUUACACUUUAUUGCUUUUCAAAGAAGACAGAACAAGGAGGAGAUCAAUUAUUCCUCAAUUAAUCUACUUCUUGACUUUUUUGUAUUAAAUUGCAUAUAGUAAGCGUCACGUAAUUUUCAUUUCCAUGUGUUAAUAAAUAUAUGAAUCCAAAUGAUUUCGCAUGUGAGUAAAUACAUGUGGUUGGCAUGAAAUCCAAAUGUCUCUUCAGUUCCAAUAUAACCUCCUCUUGUCCCAUGAGAUUUUGAAACCAUUCCUCAUCCGACGAAGUGGAGAUCAAAGAAUCAAAGAACCAUUAGUACAAAGGUAGAAUACAACCAAACUCUAGGUAUAGCAAUUUUUUUCUCUCUAACAAAAGCCAAUACAUGCAGAUGAUGCUUUAUCACAGUGACGAAAAGCAAUUAUGUCUAUACAUCCCUACCAACCUCUUACCCCUAACAAAAGCCAAUACAUUGAUAUUGUCAACCCUUCUAAAGUCAUCACAUUUUUAUUCAGAGAAUGGAGGAGAGAAGCUGGAGUAGCAUAUGAGGCCAUGAGAACAUGGAAAUUCAGACCAAAGAAGCAUAAAAACCAUAUGGAAAAGAUGAUGAUGCAUCAGGAACAAUUGACAAACUUGAUAGAAAAGAUGUGAUGCGCAAACACGACGCCUUCAGGUUGGGGGGGGCCUUUGUGGUCUGAGAUCGACUUGGUCUCCAUUGUGAAUUAUGGAAGUACCUGGGUUGUCGCUGCAGUAUACUAAUACAAGGAGGGAGGGACGGAGGGAGGGACGGAGGGCCGGAGGGAGAGAGAGAGAGAGAGAGAGAGAGAGAGAGAGUAAAACUGAUGAUAAAUCAUUCCCAUAGCAUACCAUGUAAGUAAUUAAACAUUUCUACCGUUCCAAACACACAAACAACGUUAUAAAAAUGCAGUCCGUUAAUUAUUGACAAAUAGCUAGAAAUCUUUCAAACUGCUGUCCAUUGCAGUUGCGGUUUCUUCAUUUUGUUGAAGCUCGCCAGCCUCUCUACAAUGGUGCAAUCCACUUUACAAUGCACCGUGCACUGCCCAUCGCACUUCCUGUUUCACUGCCCUGGCAUCAUCAGCAGGAUCCGCAUAUGUUUGACAAUAUUUUUCUGCGUAGUACGUUGCAAAUGAUAUAAAUUCUUCCAGCGUCACAUCCUUCUUGCCCUUGUUUCUUCUUCUAGCAGCAGCAGUGGCAGGAGUAGCAGCACCACACCGAUGACAACGCCCAGCCUUCCACCUCGCAGCAGCAAAUAGUAUCGGCAAUCC